GUCUCUGAACCAGAAAACUGAACCACGUCGCUAGAUCAUGAUGGUAACUGAGUCCAAACUUCAAUCACCGCAGCAGGUCGCAGGCAUGGUAUCUUUGCAAGGGUUCAUUCACAGCAAUGGUUCUAGUGUUGUGGUACUUAGAAGUCAGAAACUUGAGUUGUAGUACUCAGAAAUCAGACACUAAAAUGUUAAGAUGAUCUACAGACUACAGGAACAUGACUACACCAGUACCUCCAGCUCCAGAAACGAGCUCGGAAAACAUGAUGAUUGUACGAGAACAAUGCCCCCAUUGUUGUAUGUGAAAUAUGACAUUUGUGAGGUAAAUAUACAGUAACAACUGUCAAAACAAAAUGCUUGACGUUGCUCCGAAUCAGCAUCAUGUAAGAAAUUUUCUGCACUGAAGAUUGUUAGCUUCACUCAACACAACAAUAGCAAUAUUUAUUAUCAAGGUCCGCUGAACAGUAAUUAUUUUUUAAACUUAUUAUCAUAAAUAAAGAUCUGAUGAAGUGAACACCAUUUCCGUACGCAGUUUGGUCACAAGGUUACCAUUGUCAGUUACUGUGACUAUUUUUACCAGUCCAUAGAUCUGUGUCACCGGCCACAGCAUGGUGCCUAGCCAGGUGGCUGGAGCUUUCCCAGGCCGGCGCCGCCCCCACCUAGAUGCCAUAUAAACCGUUGACAUCGCCAUUAAUUUAGUCCUCACCCCUCACUCAAGAAUAGUCGCCCAUUUAGCAUCAGAAGUUUUCUGACAGAAAUCUAGCAUUAGCAGCACAACAUCACCAAUUCAUCAGCUUGUGACCAUGGGCAUUCCUACAAUGAUUUUCCGAGUAGCAGUCGCCGUUUUGCCGUAACGACCGCUGCAGCCGCAGGCAACACGACAGCGAGCACAAGCUCCGCGGCCAAUUCAACGGCGAGCCCGACCAAGAACACGAUGGCGCCAUUGCCGACGUUUGGCACGAACCACGCCGGGGGUGACAACACCGGGUGGUUCUUUGAGUGGAAGGCGAACGCCUCUGCCGCCAACUACUCCGCCUGGGCUGUGAACCGCACCUUCUACCUCGGCGACUACCUCAGUGAGUUUUCACUCUCUCCUUCCCCCGUCCAAGUCCAACUCCCUCCAUAGGUGUAAAAAAGUUGUUUAACAUAUUCUCUAAAGUCUAACUUUAAUUUUUUUUUAUAAAAAUAUUUAUCAAAAAAUAUUAUAUGUAUAUUUUUAUAAAAUAAUUUUUAAGAUAAAUCUAAUCAUAUGGUUUUCAUAUUUUCAAACUCAACAACUUAAAAUUAUUUAUGAUUUAUAUUCUUAAUGUUUGACGUCUAGAAUGAUUUUUUUAUGGAUACGGAAGUACGUAGGAGCUCGAUCCAUCCGACACUAGUGACUAGUUACAGACAUGUGUGACGCGUGUGCCGUGCUCAAUAUGUCGCAAGGCUUCAAGACGGACACCGGCAACACGGUGGUGCACACGACGAACGCCACGGUCUACAAGCUCUGCAGCGCCGGCCGCGGUCUCCCGUCGGUGCCGCCGUCAUACUACGAGCCGCUCUCCGGCGCGGCGCCGGUGGGGACUGUGGCCGUGUGGGUCGUUGCGAUGACUGCAGCCUUUGCUGCCUUUGUGUUUUCUUGAUUAUUAUUUAUUCACAACACAAUGUCAUCGCCGGCGUUUUGGCCAUAACGUUGUCCUCAAGAAUAUUUGUAACACCAUGUUUUGGUAGACAAAGAAAAAUAGUAUCUUUGGCCUUGUUUAGUUCGUGAAAUUUUCGUUUGUAUUUGGCAAUUAUUGUCCAACCAUGGACUAAAUAGGUUUAAAAGAUUCGCUUUGUAAAUUAUAGACAAACUGUGCAAUUAGUUAUUUUUUCAUCUUUAUUUAAUGCUCCAUACAUACGUCCAAAAAUUUGAUGUGAUAGAAUCUUGAAAUUUUUUAGAAACUAAACUGAGCACGAACCUUUUUUUUUGGGAUCAUGAGGCAGGGUUUUGCUACGGGUCAUUUGGCAGGGAAAGGCACAGAGCAACUACUUCGUUAAAGAGUUAGGUUCCUGUCUGGAACUAUACGAGUUCACCUUGAAUUUAAAAAAGCACAAGUUCAUGAAGUGAGCUAAGCAUGUAUCAAUAUGGUUACAUAUGAUGUGUUCGGUUUGUGGAGUCAUCCCAUGCUUCAUGGGGUGAUGCAUCAUAAGUUCAUUCCAUCAAUUUUGAUAGAAUCAACUCAUUCCUCAUGCAUAUACUAAUUAUUAGCUUGUGAGGAAUAAGGUGGUGAUAGAUCAACUCAUUCCAUUCCACAAACCAAAUACAAAAAUGAGGAGUGGGAAGAAGAUGGAUCACCUCAUUCCUCAAACCAAAAACACCCAUAAUGUAUCGCCACGAAUUACUUGUUUGCGACAAAGUUUGAGUUAAAAGGAUCUGCUAACAAAUGUGAUGAAAUAAUUUUGUAGUUUCCAAUUGGGAAAGUAGAAAUUGUGCCUGUUCAAAAAUGGAAGGUAAAUUGAUCAGCAAGAAUAACCACAAGUAAUUAGGUGGACCUGGCAAUGAAAUAUUAUAUACACAGUUAGUGCAGUCAUGAUUCAAUUAGAUAUAACCUGUAUCGCUAAUACAAUAAGAAUUUGCAGCUGACAAAGUGGGUACAUAUAGUCAUAUAGGGUUUUGGACAGUAUGUAGUCUGUGAUUGCAGGCCCUGCAUCAUCGGGACACAACGUUCAGACUAUAGUGUGGAAGAUUGAGAACGAGAAAAUAUCACUGAAAUAGAACUUUUCAGAAUUCAGUAAGAAGGUAUAGCCGAAAACCUGUAUUUCAUAGGGAGCAAAUUAAUUGUGAUAAGAUUUCUCAAAAAUUUAAUUGUGAUAAGCUUUAGUUACAUACCAUUAGAAAUUCAAUUCUGACGAGCUUCCCUUUCACUGAUUGUUCAGAUGAGCAACCCAUCAUCACUAGCGCUUUCACAAUAGGGAUUCCCACCUUGAUUGCACAUAUAGAGUUCAAGCACCUAUCUGGUUCACACUGUAGUACUAUCUGGUUCCAUUCAAAAGCAGAAAAAAAAAAUCAUUUAAGGCAACCUGAAAUGAGUGCUGUCACUAGAAUAGAAGCACUAUUUUUUUGGGAGCGGGGGGAGAAAACAGAACUAAAGCUGUACAAAACAACAACCAUACAACGAUUCUCCUUUUUAUUGGUCUGGUACCAUCAGAAAAUAUUACUGUCGGACUCCGUUUAAAAAUAUUUGUGUACAUGUGGUUCAUGCCAGAAGACAGCCGGAGUACAUGAACUCUGGCGAGCUGCUGGGUGUGGAGACGAAAUGAUGUCAGCAGAGUGGCAGCAUGUGUUGACCCUAUUGAUUUUCUUAUAAACAGAAAAACUUGAUUACAAAGUUGUGGCCACCAGGUCUGAACCUCAUGCAAUGAUCCAUGCUUCUUGUGCCAUGGCACGAAAAAGUCCAGACCAUGCUGCGGUUGUGCUUUCGCACAAACCAGUCAUGUGUCAAGCACAGAACACGCAUGUCAUGCAUAAGCUCCGGCGUGCGUGACACUAACCGAGCAUAAUAGAUUACAUAGCAUGACUAUGCAAACCCAUUACAUUAAGAAAGUAGACAAAGCUGACAAGGGCAGAUUACGUACCAUGUUCAUUAUCUUCAACGAUAGGAGUCAUCAGUUGUGGUGGAAGCAGAUCAUCUAUGGGGAGCUUUGGGCACUCCCCAACCUCGAGAUGCUCAAGAGAAGUAAGACUAGCAAGCCCAUCACAGUUCUGAAGAUUAGGGCACUUGUUUAUGCAGAGCCUUGUAACUGAGGGCAGACUUUGUUGUUUAAUUGGUAAGCAUGUAAACUCUGAAUCAUCAAUAUUUAAGCACAGGCAGCAGCAUUUAUCUCCAGACAAGGAGAGAAGCCUCUGGAGGGCGACUCCAAGGCGACGCGGGUAACUCCGGCUGCGCGGCGUCGCCGCCGGCCAGGUGCCGCCUCCCUGCUAGGUACGUCUUCCUCCCACCACACCCCCCCUCCCCUACCCCCCCUCCCCCCCGGCUCUCCGCCAUUCCUGUCCUUCUCGGAGCUCUGCGCUGCUGUCAGACCUAGAUCUGGCCGCCAUGGGGGAGGAGCUGGCGCCCAGGGGCUGGGAUGCGAAGGUGGAUGCGGCUUUGGAAGCUGGCUCGCCGCGCCGCCUACUUGAGGCCCUUGCUGUUGCGCCGUCUGCUGGGGCUGGGCCGUCCGCCGGGGCAGGGCCUUCCUCUCCAGCUAGAUGGGUGGAUUUGGAUCUUCAGAAGCUGCCACCGCCGGAGGUCUUCUUCGCGGGUUCGCCGGGUCUGCUCAGGGAGUUCCUCGACCGUGGUCCUGAAGAGCGCCUGCACUUCAGUGACUCGGAGGCUUCCCUGGGUUCAGACUCUGAGCUUGAGCCGGAUCUGGCGGAGGCGUCAGAGGCAAGGGGCAAGGAGGUGCUCGCCGUCAAGCCCAAGCGUCGCAGGGCCAGGCGUCAUCGACAUCGUCGUCGGGCGGCCGGAUUCAUGGCCGACGCCUGAAGGUCGCCCGCACGCCUCGCCGCGCAGUCUCCGCCGCCUGCUGCAAAUCCGCCGGCUGCUGGAAACCCGGGGGCGCCACGCGGACGGUCCCCCAACUCCCACCCCGCCAGGGAGCGGGGGGCCGGGAUUCGGACGGUUUCUUCGACGUGCACAGCAGGAGGUUCGGCCGCCAGAGGACCUCGAGGUCAUCCUUGCGCGGGAAGUCACCGUGGUCGCCCGGUUCGCCGCGGGCCUUGCCGCCGGAGCUCGCCGACGCCUGUUUCAACUGCCUUCGGCACGGGCACAUCAGGGCGCACUGCUGGCAUCCGCCGCGGUGCUACCUGUGCUGGCGCGAGGGCACCAUGCGGCCUGGUGCACCGAGCGGAAGAGGUGGCGCUCCCCGUGUGACUCAGGGGGUCGCCGUCAGGUUCGUCCGCAGGACGCGCAGUGCCGUCGCCGUGCCGAGUCCGCGGAUACAGUCUCGGGGAGUUCGGUCUCCACAGGGCGCUCCACUUCCAUCCCGAUGAUCUGCGCCGCCUCGCCGCGUCGGGAAAGUGCCUCCGGGGCGCCGCGCCAGCUGCCGCGACGGCCGGUCCAGGAUGCCCCGGACCGAGCUGCCCCAGACCAAGCAGAGCAACCUGUUUCCCCCGCAGUUGGAAGGGGGUGCGGAAGAUGUUGUUGUCUCUGAGGAUGAACCUAGGCGGAGUAACGCUUCAAUGGUAGUGGUCCCGCGCCUGGCCGAACUGCAGAGGGCGGAGGAUGAGCUGGCUGAGCAUGCUCUGGUCGCCACGAUCGCCGGUACAAGGCCUUGGGUGUCGACGCUAAUGUUAUACCAGCUGCUGUACAACUCCUUUGAAAUCCGGAGGGACGAGGUCGACGUAAGGCUCCACGAGCCGGAAGACUUCCUGGUCCGUUUCCAAAGAAGGGAACAUCGUGAUCGAGUGCUCGCUUCGCAUAAUUGGAGCUCCCCCGUGCCACUACGUUGGAGACCGUGGACGCGGCUCGCCGGAGGGGUCGGCGGUGCGUUCACCCAUCGGGUGGUUGUGGCGCUUCGGCACGUGCCAGCGCAUGCCCGCGACGUCGCCACGGCGCAGGCGAUCCUAGGGCGUUGCUGCGCGGAGGUUCAGUUAUCUAACCUCCGUGACCGCACCACGGAGGACGACAGGGAAUUCUUCGUUCAGGCCUGGUGCUGGCACCCGUCUUUCAUUGAACCGGAAAAAAUCGUCUUCAUCCCAGAGCCGGGGGGAACUGCAGAGCCGGAUCUUCGACGUGGCAUGCAGCAUCUCGUCAAGCUGAGACUGGUGGCCCACCGCCAACUGGGCGCGCCGUCGACCCCUCCGCCGAAUGACGACGACGAUGAGUCUGACCAGGGUGAUGACAAUGACGAUGAUCAGGGUGAUGACAAUGACGACGAUCUGCCGGCAAAUGACGGCGGCGACUUCGACUACUGCCCGACCCCGCGCCGCGACUCGGAUGGGGAUUCGCUAGACUCCGACCCCCGCAAUGGAAGGUACAUCCCGUAUUGCGACUACCCGUCCGAGUUCGCUGCUGAUGUUACGCGGAAGAUUAUUGUGGGCGGCAUCGCGUGCCCCGUCCAGCCUGGUGGCCGUCAGUGGUCGUCCCCCUCGUCGAGUGCGGCCACCUUGGAGGUCUCCUUUGGCCGUGCCCCCUCCUCGGCACGACAUUCCUACCGGAGACCGUUGUGCUUCGACUCCCCGUCACAAGAGGUUUUCAGGGAGGCUCCGAGCCCGGGCUUGGUGGCACGGUUCAUCAACGCCGCGCCACAUCGCCUGCAGGCUGGCAAUGACGUCACGACGCCACCACAGUCUAAAGCCGGGGACGACUGGUGGGCCGAAGGGGUCAGCAUGGAGUUGUGGCCUCGCCCGCGACCUUCGAGUGCAGCCUGGGUGCUAGGAUCCGGUGGGCCGAAUGACGAAGGUAGCCAGGGUCCGGUGCCGGUACCCCUGCAGCUAACAGUAGAAAAUGUGGACAGGCCGAAUGUCUAGGCGUAGCUCGAGGAGGCAGUCUGUGUUCACCUGAACACCCCGAUCCUCCAGGCGGGGCCGCGGUUGCGUCGCUCUAGGACGCCGGCUUCGAAGGGACCUUUGCGCAGAAGUGGACGUUUGGCUGCCAAGCCGAGGGCGCCAAAUCCGGUGGUGCAGGCCCACAGGGUGCUCCUUAUGAAGAUGGGUGUCCAAGUGCCGGACGAAGCCUCCCAUGAUCUCCUUGAGGGCGUGAUCACUGAAACUUUCAAGGGGGGGCUCACGGCCAGGAAGAAGAAUGCGCUGCAGAAAUUCCUGGAAGACAAGGUCGAUCUCGCAGCGAUGGACCUGGAUCUCACAGGAUUGGACAACGUCGCAUCCUAGCUUAAUCCGUUCUUUGCGCCAGUAGUCUCGUUUUUAAUGCAUGAACAGCUGAGUGUGUUUGAUUGGAAUGUGCGUGGCCUUAACGGUCACGCGCGCCGUGAUGUGGUUCGGGAGUUCGUUAGGUUGCAUCGGCCCUCCUUUGUAAGUCUCCAGGAGACAAAACUUCAAGUCGUGCCACAGUCGUUGGCCACUGAGAUACUGGGGGGAAACUAUGGCUACGAGUUCUUGCCAGCGGCCGGGGCGGCGGGCGGACUGCUGCUGGCUUGGCUAAACGAUCGAUGUACGGUGUCGUCCGUGGUUUCCAACCGCUUCAUCAUCUCAGCCCAGGUCUCCGAGCAGCGGGCCGAGCCAUGGUGGUUCACGACGGUUUAUGGGCCGCCGCAGGACGGGGCUGACAAGGUGCAAUUCUUGCAUGAGCUCGUCCAGUUCAGAGCAGGGACGUCGGGCGCAUGGCUGCUUUCGGGGGACUUCAAGAUGAUCCAUCGUGCCAGCGACAAGAGCAACGGCAGGUUAGACCGAAGGGGCAUGCGUAGGUUCAGAAACUUCAUCAACCAAGCACAGCUCGAUAAAAUUCAGUUGGUGGGCAGAGCCUUUACUUGGACGAGCGCGCGUGAUCAGCCCACGCUUGAACUUUUGGACCGCAUGUUCGUGACUCAAGAGUGGCUGACAAGGUUCCCAGCACUUUUCCUUCGCCCUCUCUCCUCGGAUUGCUCAGACCACUGCCUGAUUUUGUUGCAAGUGGUAGAUGGUGUGCAAGCUAAACGACGUUUUCGUUUCGAACCGUACUGGGCGAGUGUGCCAGGGUUCUGGAGGUGGUAGCCUCGGCUUGGGGGAACUCUCUCGUAGACGCUGAUCACUGCAGGCAGCUAGACUUCAAGCUCCGUAACACUGCUAAGGCUCUCACCAAAUGGUCCAACGAGAAGAUUGGUUCAGUACGGUUGCAGCUCGCGGUCGCAAGGGUCGUUAUCCUCAGGUUCGACGUGGAGGAGGAGCACAGGCAACUGCAGCAGUGGGAGCUGGAGUUACGCAGGAAGUUGAAGUUCCGGGUCCUCGGUUUGGCCUCCUUGGCCCGUACAAUUGCCAGGCAGCGAUCGAGGGCUCUUUACCACAGAGAAGGAGACGCGAACACGAGAUUCUUUCACCUGCAGGCGUGCCACCGGAGACGCAUUAACAGAAUCUCGUCGCUGCGGGUUCAGGGAACCGAGGUGAUCACCGAUGAUGCCAUGGCGGACGCACUGUACGAACACUACAAUGCAAUCCUAGGUACUAAUUUCGUGCGUGGAAGGGCUUUCAACUUGCAGCUUUUGGGGUUGAAUAAUCUUAUGAUAAAAUGUAGUAUUACCAAAAUCAUCAAAGAAAUCAUCCUCAAUUUCAAACAUCCAUUCAAAAUUUGGAGCUAUCUCCGUCUCAUUAGCUAAUUCAACUAUAGAUUGAGAUGAAUCAUGUAAAAGUUUAUUUUCAGUUAACAGAGAUUCUUCUUCUAACAACUCUUCUUUUUCUUCUGGGAGAUCAUUUAAAAUAUUAGUAAGAAUAGUUUUAGCAUGAUCAACAGUAAUAUGCAUAAAUGCUCCUCCCCAGGCCAAAUUAAGGUAUUCUUGAUUUCUAUCAUUAAGGCCUAAAAAGAAAUGUUGUAAAAGCAUGGGUUCUGGUAAAGCAAGAUUAGGUCCAGAAUUUACAAAGCCAUCAAAACGAUCCCAAGCCUUGCCUAGCGAUUCAUUGUCUAAUUCUUUGAAUCGUAUAAUUUCAAACUGAAGUUUAGCAACCUUUUCUACUGGGAAUAAUUUAAGGCAAAAGUCUUUUCUUAAUAUAUCCCAGUCUUCUUGACUGUUCCCAACAUGGCGAUUAUACCAUUUCUUAGCUCCACCCAUUAAUGAACAUGGAAAGAGUUUCCAUCUUAAAGUUUUGUUGACAAUUGAUAAUGUUAAUUUUAUUAGAACUUAAAACUCAAAGAAAAAAAUGAAAACACACUAGUCUAGGGUUUAAACUGACAAUUUCCAUGAGUUUUGCAUAUUCUGUGAUUUUUAGGGAUUAUUUCAGAAAGAGCUCAAAAGAGGGAUUUAAGUGCCAAUUAACCACGAAACUUAUCCGCAAUGGAAGGAGGACACCAGAGGGAUCAGGAAGACUCCAGAAGACUCUUAGAGCAAGGGGAUCGACAGAGACCACCAGGUGGGGCCGCCCGGCGCGACCCUGGCACCGCCCGGUCCCCUGUGGCUAGGGUUUGGCCUCCCCUUCUGGAAGCUUCCUCCACUACCUCUAAGGAGCCAUCAAGGCCGCUUGUUAAGUUGGUUUGAUCCAACGGCGCUUGUUAACCCUAGAUUCAAUUCAUUCCUCCUGCUUCAUUUGUCAAGAGUAGUCAGAAGUUAGGGUUUCUAGAGAUUAGAAGUAGAGCUCUAGUUCUUCAAGUUCUUAGUAUAGGCGUCUAGCGAGGUUCAAGUAGAGAUCAGGCGCUCCGCUCGGGAUUUUAGAUCUGUCUUCUAGAAAUUGGUAAUAUUAUCUUGUAUUUCAUUAUGACUUUGCUCUACUUCAAUAUAUUGCUAUUUAUUCAGUUCUUAGUUUAUUCUAGUUGCAUAUUCGAUAUAGAUGUGGUUUAUGAUGAUUAUUGUUAUAUGAUCGUAAAGUGCCUGAUUCAGUACUCGAGUGAGUCAGGUGGUGCACAUUAUGUAGACGUGGUGUCUAGAUAUAUUGUGUACCUACGGAGGCACUCUGACGUGCCGGGUCAUGUGGUAGUCCGCGUAGGUGACAGCUAUGUUGGUUCCUCUGUAGUCCAACCCCCAUACGUAGGACUAGCCAAACUGAGUCCGAGUAAAAAAAGAAUAAUGGAAUCAGUAGAGGAACUAAGUCAAACUUCAUGGGUUUUCAAGAGCAGUAAAAAAAGAACUUAAUUAAGGGGGUGUUUAGCGGAUAAUACAUGUAAUAAUGCAUGAAGUUUGUAUUGAGUUCCUAAUCAUGGUUACAACUUAGUUUCGGAUGCGCUAAUCCACUCCCAGACCCGAACAUGCAUACAGACUUGCAUGCUUCUAGCUUGCUUGCCAAAUGCAAAAACAUAGCCGAGUUCUUGGCUUCUUGCUUCCUUCACCGAAAUACAAGCUCCCCACCAAAAAGGUCAUCCAUGCGAAUUGUAUGUGGAUCCCCAGAAGUGCUUGUACAUGUAUUGAUUUUGUCUUCUAUUUCCUUGCCAAGGAUGUCAAGUGGAUCCCCAGAAAUGCUUGUACAUGUAUUGAUUUUGUCUUCAAUUUCCUUACUAAGGAUGUCAAGCAUGUUGUCUACUAACAUGGUGCAUUCUGGAAACUGUGCUGAUCUAUGUGCCAAAUUGAGAAAUUUAUGAGACAUAUAUCUGAAGCGAAGAGUAGCAUCCGUAAUUUGAUUUUCGAUUAUGUUUCUUCCCUGCUUGUCUUGUACAGUUCCAAUCCGUGCUUCCCAUGUCCAUCUCUUCAGCACGUAUUGUGGCGGUAGUGACUUGAUAUUCAUCAAAUCAAGAACUUUAAGAGAAUGGGCACACAAUAUCCCAAUUCUGUCAAAUUGCCUACAGCUGCAUAAAACUAUUUGCUUCAAAGGAUCACCAAUAACUUUGUACCCCUCCUCAAAGGUAAAAUCUCCUACCAGAUAUUCAUUAUUACCAUCCAAUUCCUUGGUGCAAGCUGCCAAGGAUCUUUCAUAUUCACCUUGAAAAGCUUCAAAUAUAAUAGGUGUAUACAGCUUGCUAGCAUGCACCAACAUAGGGGGUGGUCUCCUCAUAUAGAUUUGUGGCAACUUUUUCCUUGAAUCAAAUUCUAACUUCAGUUCAUUAUUCCUUUUACCUUGCACCACCAUUUCAAAAUGCUUCAAGAACUGGAUGAUAUCAAAAUCAGUUUCGAAGAGGAUUUUCAAAUCAUUGUUUAGACUCUUAUUCAGCUGUGUACUCCUCAUUCCUAAUGUGAAGACAUCUUUCAUAUAACAUUCAGCCCAUUUUUCUUUCAACCUGUAUAUACUAUCCAGCCAAGUUUUCUUGUUUACCUUUUUCCUUAUGAUGUCAAAUUUAUGUUCAAAUUCUGCCAUGUCCUCAUACUCAAACAUACAUGCCCUAAAGUCUGAUAGAAUGCUUGUGUCUUCAUUCUUAUCUUCAUGAAGAUGUUUGGCAAAAUUUUGCAUAAUGUGCGAGGUGCAUAAUCCAUGCCAUGCUUCUGAAAACACUUCUGCAACUGCCUUUUCCAUUGCAAAAUCUUGAUCUGUAUAGACUGUUUUAGGCUGCUGUCCACUAUGAGCUUUUAGAAAGGCCUGGAAUAGCCACUUGAAGGACUCAAAUGUUUCAUCAUAUAUGAGAGCAUCACCAAAUAUUACAGUUUCUCUAAAAUGAUUGAAUCCAACAAAGACACCAAAAGGCCUACUCCCGUUGUUUGUUCCAAAAGCAGUGUCAAAACUAACAACAUCACCAAAAUGUGCAUAGUCCAUGAUCAUUUUACCAUCAACCAAGAAUAUAUUUGCUAUCCGUUCUUCACAAUCCAUUUGCAAUGCAUAUUGGAAUGAUGGGCUGUCAGCAAUUUUAUCUUGAAAAUACUUAAGCAUGCUACCUGCUUGACCAUAUGCCAUCUCCCGUUGGCGCUUGGUCAACAAAUAGUUCUUUUGAUCUUGAAGGCUGUAGCUAAGAUUGGGUGAUCUGCCAACAUGGUGACUAGCUAAUUCGUUUGCCACUUUUCCCACAUCAUCUGCAGUUUCAAUUUCAAAAGCUUGUAAAUCUGAAACUCGCCUUUGUGGUACCACCACUUGUAAGGUUUCUAGCAGGUGUAGUAUAUGAUUGUGUUCCAAAACCAGCUCAGACACUUCAUAAUUGCAUUUAUUUCGGUCCAGUUUAAGACUCAUGUGGACUUUACCACUGGUACAGGACAGGCCUUUAGUCCCGGUCGAAAACCACUUGUAUUCCCGGGUGGCGAGCCGGGACUAAGAGAUCGGGACUAAAAGUCCCACCUUUAGUCCCGGCUCCCAGUCCCGGGACUAAAUGGGGACCUUUAGUCCCGGUUGGUAACACCAACCGGGACUACAGGGGGCACCAGGCAGUGACGUGGCGCCACCCCUAGCCACCCCUUUUAGUCCCGGUUGGUAUUACCAACCGGGACUAAAGGUUUUUUUGUUUUUCUUUUUUUUCUUUUUCCUUUUCAUUUCUUUAUUGAUUUUGGUUUUCAAUUGUAUAUGUUCUCCAAUUUAAUCGUAUACGCUGCAAUUAUCCGUAUACGUUGCACCUAUACGAGAGCGUCAUUAUUAUUGCACACAAAUAAAGUAUGAAACUACAUAUAUAUUAUCCGUAUAAUAUAUAUAUAUAUCUAUAUAUAUUAUAUAGCUAUACACAUACGUACAUACACAUUACAUUUACAAUAAUAAUAUUAUGUACAAGUAAUAAUCAAGUGUGCUGCCACCGGUUAAUGAUUACAUAAUGUUUGUCCGCCCACUCAAAGCUCAUACAAGUGUUCGUUCUUGUUUGGAAUGGGCUUGAAGCCCUGCGGGUAUAAGUGGAACUCGCCGUCUUCCGGAAUGACAUGAUCGUUGAUAAAUCCGGCGAUCGUCUCCUGGACUCCAAGGAGUAAUGUGUACUCGAACACUUUAUGUUUCAUAUUCCACUCCUUCCAUUUGCAUUAGUUAGAAUAGAUAUUAAUAUACAUAAAAUCUAUUUAGUUUCAACAAAUAAAUAAGAUAUGAAUUUACUGUAUACACAUGCAUGUUACUUACUUUUAGAACACUUUGAGCAGGUUUAAAUAGGGUGCACCGCAUAAAUUCACAAACAUAGUAUCCACAUAGAUUCGUUCCAAACGGCUGCGUGGGCACCCAAGGGAGUAGAACAGGAGGAGGAAGUGACACAUUCAGAUCCGUACGAUAUUUUUGUUGUAGCCAAGCCCAAGCCCUGCCCAAUAAGACGCUCGUUGAUUAGGUAUAGCUAGCAUAAUAAAGUAAAGGAGCACGCAUCGAUAUUUGAAGUAUGAUAUAUACUUACCUCUGGAUCAUGUCUAUUAUGUCUUGAUAGAGUGCCAGGUCUUUUUUCAUUGAGUCCCACACAUGUAUUCUUUGUUCCGUGAUCUUAAUCACAAUGAGUAUCCAAUGAUCUCUGCAUUUGUUUAGAGUCAACUUAUAUAUGUGUAUCUUAAUGCCGGAUUAACUAAGACAUGAUAUAACACAACACUUACCCCAUAUUGUAAGGGAAGAGUAUCUUAUCCGUAUGCCUUUGGUUAUAAAAGAACCUCCGGAGGUUCUUCUCCAUUUCCUUAGGCUUCAGAUUCAAUGGAUCUUUAGUUUUAGUGUCCUUGUACACGACAUAUGGAUCGAUGAAACCAAUUCAAUUGUCUUUUUUCAAUCUUUGUUCUCUCAUCAUGUGUCUGCACAUCGUGAGCGUAGUUAUUACGAAUACAUACAUAUGCUAUAAUGGGAUUAAUGAUUGAAAGGAAGAAUCACUUACAGACAGUAGCAGCUCAUGAGAGAUUUGUUGAGAGCAUUCAUAUGGAGAAGUUGGUGUACUUCACUAAAAUCUAUCCAUAUGACGUCAUCUCCACGGAAGUAGUGUCGGUCGCGGACUCGGACGGCAAUCAAUUCUUCUUGUAUAUGUUCUGAGCUGACUCUCAAGUAGUACUCGUGUAGCUUGUAUAUUUGCGUACUAAGUCCUCGUACAUUCUCAGGGUGGCACAUACUCCUGUCGUAAAUGUACCGACUCUGAUAUUCAUCGACACCUCCGUGGAUUGGCGCAUCGGUACGCCCUAGAAGUGCUUCUAAGGGCAGCCCAGUUUCUUCCAUCCAAUUCCCGAGCUCAUCUAAGUCCACAUUAGCAGGUAUAGUCAUUGCCAGCAAGUUGGCAUUUGAACCGUACUCAUUCGCAACCACUAGUGGCUGAACUGAUUGUUGCGCUUGUUCGCCGAGCUGUGCAACUUUUUGCUGGACUUUUCUUUUGUCUGCCUUGAUUUUCUUUAGGACAGUACGGUCGUAGUCUCAUAUUGUUGACCCUGGUUGUUUACUCGCAGCACGGUUCGCGUCUGUCAUUUUCUGCACCACUUGACGUAGCUUUGAACGAGGAUACAUUAGGUAUGGCGGCUCUUGCUCUGCUUUUCUGUUAGCUUUGCAUUUUUCAAAGAAUGCUUUGACUUCCGCUUUGCUUGCAGCAAGCACUUCCUCAUUGGUCUUCUCAUAUGGAAGCUUGGUCGUCUUCGGGAUCUUCGUGUUCAAAGCUUUCCUCUUUGCCGCAGGUGGUUGGAGUGAUCUCUGUCUCGGCGGACGACCUCUUCCUCCUCGAUGCAGCACUAGCCGGUGCCGAUGAGGUGGCGGCCGUUGUCGUCGGCAUUGGCGGAGGCAGUGGCGCAGGUGGAGCUUGUUGUUGUGGAGGAGAUUCGACUGCGGGCGGCGUUGGAUUCCUUCGUGGAGGACAUGCGACGGCCAGUGGUGGGGAUGCGGCCUUCUCUUGUACGUCGUCGUCGUCGUCGUCGUGUCCCAUGACACUAUGGUCAUGCGGUGAAUGGACAGACGAACUUCGGUGGGAGGAGGCCCUGGAUUUAAAGAAAACAAAUAAGGUAUAUGUAUACAUGACUAAAUGUAAUUUGAUACAGUAUAUAAUUAUAGAAAAAGCAGUAGCGUUCACAAUAAUCCGCACCUGCUAGGGUUCGGUUGUGGCGGCGGCACCCCAGGAAUAAUGAUGUACCGUUUCCUCCAACAUAUGAAUGUCUUCUCCGCUUCACCAAGUGUCUUCUCUCCAUCACCGCCUUCGAUAUCGAGAGGCACAUUUUCACGGCCUCUGACCACUCUAUCCACCAAGACACAAGCAUAUCCGGCUGGUAUUGGGACAAAGUGGAUUGUUGGUGUCUUGGUGGGGUCGAUAGGAGAUACGACACCGGUAGCCACCUUUACUGUGCCAUCGCCCUCCGGAAUAUGGAGCUCACAAGACGUCAACGGAGCGGUGACGUCAUCCACCGGGAAUCGCAGCCCUACGUCAUCAACUUGCCUCGCAGGCGCCUCCGUAGAAGCACAACUACUCUUUAGAUGAGCUGAGCAAGGGCUGAUGUUGGCGGUCGGUGGCUGUGAUAAGCUUUGGAGGCGGGAAGUUAUAGCUUCCUCCACGGCCUUUUGGAUUUUCUCAUCCAUUGUGGCCUUCAGCGCUUGCUCCCGCUCAAGGGCCUGUUGAGCCACUUCUUGGGUCUUUAUGAGUCCUUCCUCCAAUCUGCGUAUCCGUUCCCUGUCCUCUUCCUUCUUUCUCAGGCGGCUUCUAUAAGUUUCCCUAUCUGCAGGGAAGGCAUGUUCCCACGACACGGUGCCAUAGCCUCUCGCCGUCCACCGUGCUUAGGGUUCCCUAGGGCGAAUGUCAAUUCAUCUUUAUCUCUAUUCGGCUGCCAUUCUCCACUUUCAGCGAUGGAGCGGGCUUGAUGGAAUCUUUCCGCAAUAGCUUGGAUGCGUUCCCCAUACAUGACCUUUACGAUCUCAAGGUCCAGUGAGCCUCCGUGAGCGAAAAACCAGUGCUUCGCGCGCUUAGGCCACUCGAGGGAUUCGGGCACCAACCCCCUGUCGAUUAACUCUUUUUCGGCCUUUUCCCACUUAGGAACUGCGGUUUGGUAGCCACCUGAUCCCAUCGUGUGGUGGUAGGUCUUGCGUCGGGCAUUCUCUUGGUUCUUUUUGACCCGUUCCUGAGCCUCUUCGGACAUCUUGAACCGUACAAAGUCGUCCCAAAACGGCCGUAGCUUCGCAUAGUUCGGAGAGUUGAAAUCUGGAGUCAUGUUUUUCUUGAUGUAGUCUUGAUAUAGACGCUUCUUAUAGCCCUGAAACAUUGGUGCCAUCUUCUUCAUAGACCAGUCUCGGACUCUUUCCUUCAACUGUUCAUCGUUUGUCUCCAGUGUAAAAUGUUGCAAGACAUCACCCCAGAGUAGCUCCUUGUCACGUAUAGAGACAUAACUGAUUUCUGGGUGUUUCUUGUUCUCAUUCCAUUCACAGACACUGAUUGGGAUCCUAUCCCGGACAAGGUACCCUAAGUGGUACACGAAGGCCCUUGAAUGGGGUCCAAGUGGCUUGCCUGUUGCUUCCUCGAAUUCUGAGAUUACUAACCGGCCCUCCAUAGGCUUCUUUGGGCCUCGUACUCUCCGGCUGGUCCCCGUGGUUGUCGUCGAGCCAGGGGGCUAUGUAGAAAGAAAAAAGACAAUUUAAUACAAGAUAUUAUUUCGAAUUAUAUCUGUAAAAACAAAGGAGACUGCCAUAUUACAGACCUGCUGGCCAGCAUUGUCUUGCUCAUUCGGGUCGACCAAAUACUGAGAGCAGUCAUCGAUUCCCUCAGGGUUUUCAUCGCCUUCGCGAUCAUCGUGAUAAACUUCUUCAGUGGGACCGCAGAUCAGGUUCAUCAUUUCCUCUUCAUGUUCUCUCGGAUCGGCCAUUUCUACAGAAAUAUGUGACACAUCACUACUAGCACUACUGUGUAUACUUGACAAGAAACAAUAUAUAAAACUAGGGUUUAGGGUUUAGGGUUUAGGGCUUAGGGCUUAGAACAUCACUAAAUACAUCACAGAACACUAUAGAACAUCACUAAAUACAUCAAAUAUAUACGUGAAAAAAACUAAAUACACCAUAGAACAUCACUAAUUACAUUAAAGAACAUCGUAUAUAUAUUACGUGAAAAUAAAUAAGAAUUUGGUACUAUAAUAUACAUGAAAAUAAUUAAUUAUAUAUGAAUUUGAGCAGAGACAAUAUUCUAGAUUUAUAAGAAAUUGGUGACACAUGACUACUAGCACUACUGUGUAUACCUGACAAGGAAACAAUAUAUAAAACUAGGGUUUACAACUUAGGUUUCAACUAAGGGUUUGGGGUUUAUGGCUUAGCCACUAAUUGUACCACUAAUUAUAGCACUAAUAAUUGUACCACUAAUAAAUCCAUCUCGACAUACCUGUAGUUUGAAGGCGGUGAGACGGCGGAGAGACGGCAGUCGGUGCGGAGACUCGACGGGGACUUCGGUGACGACGGCAGAGAGACGUCGAUCUGAAAGAAGGAAGAAAUAGGGAACAAAUAUUAUAUCACAUUUACAUAUUGUGGCACUUGCAUGAAGCACUAAAUAUAGAAACAAACGAAAAUGCUACAGUACCAAAAUGCUAUAGUGUGAAAUACAAAAUUUUUUGGAACUAAACAAGGCCUAAUUAUUUUUUUGGAACUAAACUUAUUGGAAUAGUAGCAUUUUCGUUUGUAUUUGACAAAUAUUAUAUUGUCCAAUUAUGGACUAACUAGGCUCAAAAGAUCCAUCUCGUCACCGAUGCAUUAUUUUUUUUGAACGAAACAAGGCCUAAUUAUGGACUAACUGUGCAAUUAGUUUUUAUCUAUAACUCUUAUAAAGCUAAACCCCACUAGAUGAAUUCUCUCUUCAUGCAAGGUGUCCACAUCAUUUCCCACUAAGUAACCCACUAAAUAUUUUAUCUCUACAUAUAAGGUGUCCACAUCAUUACUCACUAAGUCCAUGUCAUCCUAUAUUAAUUACAAAAAAUGACCAUGACAUCUAUAUCAUGUGAAAUACUUUAAAUCUUUAAUCUAUUAACAUACAAGUUAUGUACAUACAAUAUUUGUUUCAUCACCAAUUAAUUCCUCUAUAAUGUAACCAAACAUUAGUUUUUGUUCUAUUAGCUUAGAAAUUUUUUACUAGAUCUAAUACAAUAAAAUAUAUGCAAGUCAAAUUCAUAUGUAUACAUACAUAAUAGACUCAAUAUUAUAUAGUAAUGAUAUAUAUAAUGAUUUAUUUUUAAGAAAUUCCCGCGGCAACGCGCGGGGAAUUCACCUAGUUUUUAUCUAUAUUUAAUACUCCAUGCAUACGUCUUAAGAUUCGAUGUGACGGGGAAUUAAAAAAUUUUACAAAAUUUUUGAGAAACUAAGGCCUUGUUUAGUUCACCCCAAAAUCCAAAAAAUUUUCAAGAUUCUUCGUCACAUCGAAUCUUACGACACAUGUAUGAAACAUUAAAUAUAUACGAAAAUAAAAACUAAUUACACGGUUUGUUUGUAAAUUGCGAGACAAAACUUUUGAUCCUAGUUAGUUUAUGAUUAGAUAAUACUUUUCAAAUAAAAACGAAAGUGCUACAGUAUUGAAAUCCGAAAUUUUUUCACAACUAAACAAGGCCCUAAACAAGGUCGGCUCGGCCGCCGGUGAGGGUCGAGCUCGGCCGCCGGUGAGGGCGCACGUGGCCGCGCGGCCGACGGCGUCCUGCCCGCGCCACUGAGGGCGCAGAGGGCGCGUGCGAGAGAGAAAAAGAGAGAGUGGCGGCGGGGGCGCGGCGUACGAUGGAGGGGGCGCUCGGAGCGGCGGCGGCAACGACAGCGUCGUGGACGAAGAGAAGAACGGCGGCGGUUAGGGCUCGGGCGCGGUGGGGAAGGAGAAGAAAGGGCUCUGCCCUUUAUAGGGCAGAGCACCUUUAGUCCCGAGCGGUGGCACGGCCCGGGACUAAAGGUUUUUCACCAAAUUAUGGCGCCAGUUCAGGCGCCAUAAUUUGGUUUUCCCUUUUUUAUUUUCCCUUUACAUUGUUAAAUGCAUUAUAAAUUAAAUAAAUCUGAUAAAAUUUUUAAAAAAUACACAUUAAUUUUAUUCUGCUCUACUCUUGAGUAUAAAAAUUCUUAACACAAUUGCUUUUUAAAUAUUUCAUAUUACUCAAAAUAAAUAUUAUUCAUAAUGAAUAUUUUGUUAAUGCAAAAAUAUAAUGACCAAUUAAAUUUUAAAAAAUUGUUGGCUUUAGACAGAUACUUUGUUUUUGGGUCAUUUGGACGUUAAACUUUUGUUUCUUUAGUAAUAAUUAUACAAAUGCGCGACAUUGAUUGUAUAAAUUUGAAAUUUAAAUUUUCAAAAGUUGUAAGAUGUAUUUGGGAACCCUGCAUGGCCUCAAAUGGAAAACUCAUGAAUACAAAGUUUGUUCUGCUCAUCAAGACCUACAUUUUCUCUAGUGGUCACAUUUUCAUUUGAAAAAGUUUAGACCACUCAAUUUUGAAAUUUGAAUGAAUUCAUAGCGAAACGCUAAUUUUCAGAACCAUGGAUGGCCUCAAAUGGAAAACUCAUGAAUACCAAUAUUGCUCCACUCAUCAAGAUCUACAUUUCAUAUAUAGACCAUUUUUGCAUUUGACAAAGUGUUGGCAAAGUGUAGUUCAAAAUCCACACUUCCCACGUAUAGUUUCAUAAAGUUUGUGUGAGAUUCAAGAUUUGGUGAGUAUUGUCUACAUAAACUUUCCCAAAUGGAAAAAUGGUCUAUAUAAAAAGUUUGGAUAUUGAUGAGCUCUAACAACUUGGUAUUCAAAAGAUUUCCAUUCCAAGUCAUUUUCUCCGUCGUUUGACCAAGUUUGACCAAAGCCCGUCUUCGAAUUUGAAAACACGUGCCUCGGACUCGAUCAAAUUUAUCCGGAUGAAAAUAUGAUCCAUAUAUGAAAUAUAGGUCUUGAUGAGACCUAACAACUUGGCAUUCAAAAGUUUUCCAUUUGAAGUACUCAGGUGGGUCAUUUGACCAAGUUUGACCAAAGUCAAAAUAGUGGGUUUCACAAACACACACUUUGACCGAGCCCUGGAUGGCCUCAAAUAGAAAACUCAUGAAUACAAAGUUUGUUCCACUCAUCAAGACCUACAUUUUCACUAGUGGUCACAUUUUCAUUUGAAAAAGUUUAGACCACUCAAUUUUGAAAUUUGAAUGAAUUCAUAGCGAAACGCUAAUUUUCAGAAAAUGUAGGUCUACAUUUCAAGAUCCACUCAUCAAGAUUGCUCCACUCAUCAAGAUCUACAUUUCAUAUAUACAUUUCAUGAAUACCAAUAUUGACCAAGUUUGACCAAACUCAUGAAUACCAAUAGUUCAAAAUCCACAUCAAGAUGUUACAAUUAUAUUACCCAUAAUGUUACAAUUAUAUUACACAAGAUUUCAAGUACAAAUCACUACCAUUAUCAAGCUAGCACAGUGGUAAACUUUUUCUUAACAUAAUGCCCUUGGUUAUGAUCAUUCCGUAACCAUGGAGUGUCCUCUGCAGCGAGCAUGAUGCUUGGGUCUUUGGCCACAUAGAAGGGUGGGAUCUGUUCAUCCUUUUCAUAAUCCUCUGACACGUCUGACUUGUCUUCAAUUCCCACGAUAUUUCUUUUCCCUGUAAGAACGAUGUGUCGCUUUGGCUCGUUGGUGUUUUUCUCGUCUUGUUUCCCUCUCUUAGGUUUUGUAGACAUGUAUUUCACAUAGAACACUUGAUUCACCUUAGUACCGAGGACGAAUGGAUCGUCUGUAUAUCCAAUAUUGUUGAGGUCCACUGUUGUCAUUCCGUACUCCUUAUCGACUGAUACCCCUCCUUUCAUCUUCACCCAUUGGCAUCGGAAUAAAGGGACUUUAAAAUUAUGUGCAUAGUCUAGUUUCCAAAUCUCCUCUAUACGACCAUAAUAUGUGUGCCUGUCCCCAUUCGUGUCCGUGGCAUCCACACGGACGACACUGUUUUGGUUGGUACUCUUUUUAUCUUGUGAUACGGUGUAAAAUGUAUUUCCAUUUAUCUCGUACCCUUUGUAUGUGAGGACGUGCCACGCUGGUUGCCUAGCCAACAAAUAAAGUUCAUCUCCAAUAUCUUUAUCACCCUGGCAUUUUUUUCGCAACCAGUCACCGAAUGUUUCCAUGUGAUGAUGCGUAACCCAAGUCUCAUUCUUUCCAGGAUUCUCGGAUCGUACAAAAUCCAUGUGUUCCUCAAUAUAGGGUUCCACCACAAUGGAGUUUCGAAGGACUGUGUAGUGCGCUUUAUUGAAUAAAUCAUCACCCUGGCUGAUAUAUGUUUUCUUUCCUAGUGUACCCUUUCCACCGAGUCUCCCCUCAUACCUUGAUUCAGGAAGACCAAUCGGGUCAAGAUCAGGAAUAAAGUCCACACAGAACUCAAUGACCUCCUCUGUCCCGUAUCCCUUGAUGAUGCUUCCUUCUGGCCGACCCCGCUGGUGAACAUAUUUUUUCAGUACACCCAUAAAUCUCUCUAAAGGAAACAUGUUGUGUAGGAAGACAGGACCCAGAAUAUGAAUCUCUUUGACCAGAUGAACUAGGAGAUGUGUCAUGAUAUCAAAGAAAGAUGGAGGAAACACCAACUCAAAGCUGACAAGACAUUGAACCACAUCGUUCUGUAGAGUAGCUAGAUCAAGAGGAUUGAUUGCCUUCUGAGAAAUUGCAUUGAGGAAUGCACACAACUUCACGGUGGCCAGACGUACAUGUGGAGGUAGAAUUCCUCUUAAGGCAACCGGAAGCAGUUGUGUCAUAAUCACGUUGCAGUCGUGCGAUUUUAAGUUGACAAAUUUUUUCUCUGGCACAUUUAUUAUACGCUUUAUGUUGGAGGAGAACCCAGAUGGGACCUUGAUGCUGCUUAGGCACUCAAACAUGAUUUCCUUCUCCUCAUUGCUAAGAGUGUAGCUAGCAGGUCUUAAAUACUAGCGUCCAUCAUCUGUCUGCUCUGGAUGCAGGUUGUCUCAUUCUUUCAUGCGCUUUAAGUCCUCUCGAGCCUCAAGGGUAUCCUUAGGCUUUCCAAACACACCCAUAAACCCUAGGAGAUUGACACAAAGAUUCUUGGUCAGGUGCAUCACGUCGAUGCAGUGGCGGACCUCAAGGUGUUUCCAAUAUGGUAGCUCCCAAAAUAUUGACUUUUUCUUCCACAUUGGGGCACGCCCCGAAGCGUCUUUCGGAACAGGUUCGCUGCCUUCUCCCUUUCCAAACACUACUUUCAAAUCUUUGACCAUCUCGAAUACCUCUGCCCCGUCUCGGUUGCCUGGCUUGGACCGGUGUUCUGUCGUACCUUUAAAAUGUUUGCCUUUCUUUCUCAACUGGUGGUUCUUAGCAAGAAAUCAACGAUGGCCAAGGUACACGACCUUUCGGCAUUUUUUCAAAUAGAUAGCUUGAAGGUCACCAAAGCAAUGGGUGCAAGCAUUAUAUCCCUUGUUUGUCUGUCCUGAAAGAUUGCUUAGAGCUAGCCAAUCAUUGAUUGUCACAAACAACAAUGCUCGUAGGUCGAAUGCUUCCUGUUUGUACUCAUCCCACAUACGCAAACCUGGUUUGCUCCAUAGAAGCUGGAGUUCCUCAACCAAUGGCCUCAGGUAAACAUCGAUGUCGUUGCCAGGUUGCUUCGGACCUUGGAUGAGCACCGGCAUCAUAAUGAACUUCUGCUUCAUGCAUAACCACGGAGGAAGGUUGUAGAUACAUAGAGUAACGGGCCAAGUGCUAUGACUAGAGCUCUGGUCCCCAAAAGGAUUAAAUCCAUCCGUACUCAAUGCGAACCUUAGGUUUCUUGCGUCCUCUGCAAAUUCCGGGAAUUCUCUAUCAAUUUCUCUCCACUGAGAACCAUCUGCAGGGUGUCUCAACAUGUUGUCCACCUUACGGUCUUCUUUGUGCCAUCGCAACAACUUUGCAUGCUCCUUAUUUCUGAACAAACGUUUUAGGCGUCAAAUUAUUGGAGCAUACCACAUAACCUUGGCAGGGAUUCUCUUUCUCGGACGUUCUUCAUCCUCAACAUCGCCAGGGUCAUCUCGCAAGAUCUUGUACCGUGACGCAUGGCAAACAGGGCAUUCAUCUAAUUUCUCGUACUCGCCACGGUACAGGAUGCAGUCAUUAGGGCAUGCAUGUAUCUUCUCGAUUUGUAAUCCCAAAGGGCAGACAAUCUUUUUUGCUUCGUAUGUAGUGGUGGGUAACUCAUUAGGCUUUGGAAGCAUCUUUUUUUGGAUCUUCAGUAAUUUUCCAAAUGCCUUGUCAGAAAUACCAUUCUCUGCCUUCCACUUUAACAACUCCAGUGUCGUUCCUAGCUUUUUCUGUCCCUCUUUGGCCGACAGGUAGAGUAGCUUCUUGUGAUCCUCUAGCAUUUGGUCAAAUUUAGCCUUCUCCUUUGCACUUUCGCAAUCUCUCUGUACGUCGCGAAUGACAUCACCAAGAGCAUCGUCAUCAUCAACGAUACUGUUUCCUGCAUCCCCGUCUUCAUCACCUUCGUCCUCUACUGUGAAGUUGCAGUAUUGAGCAAAAACAUCGUCAGGGUACGCUUGCUCUUCUUCACCUUCUUCCAUCAUAACCCCAGACUCUCCGUGUUUGGUCCAACAAAUAUAGUUUGGCAUGAAACCAUUCGUGAACAAGUGCAAGUGAAUUUCUCUUGAGUUUGAAAAUUCCUUCAAAUUCUUACAAACGGCACAUGGGCAGCACAUAAAACCAUCCCGCUUAUUUUGCUCCGCCACUCUGCGGAAUUCUCGCACGCCCUCAAUGAACUCGUUGGAGCGGUGAUCAGCAUUGUACAUCCAAUGGCGUGCCAUUAUCUGCAUUAUCAUGGAAUUAUAAUUUUUCUAUUAAAAGCUAUAAUUUUAUCAGUAAAGAAAAUUAAUUUCAAUAAUUUUUAAAGUGAAAAACAAUUUAUUUAACAAUUACAACAAAAAUUAUAUUAUUAAUAUUUUAAAAUAAGAACAUGAACAUAUUAAAGUAGAAAAUAUCCUAUAAUAUCUAUAAUAGAACUUAACAUGAUUCGUGUAUACAUAGUAGUAAUGAUUUGUGUAUACUAGUUUUUAGCGGGCACACACUUAGCAUCGUUCAAAAAAAUUCAAACAUGAGAAGACGAUGAUUGGAGAGAUGGCAACAUGAAAUAAUCAAAAUAGACAUAUGUCCAAUAUGAAAUUACAUAUGGCGGUGAGAAACAUAGGAGGAUGAAGCUAGCAACCUUUCAAACAAAUCGACGACGGCGUAGAAGCGUUGAAAUGGAUCGAUCGUGGAAGAUGAGAGCACUAACAAGCAAGAACAAUGGAAGAACAAGCAAGAACAAAGCACCUCGAGCUCGGGCAGGGAGAGGAAGAAGGGAGGAGGGAGAUUCAAUUUAUAGCGGGGAGGGUUUAGUCCCGGUUGGUGUUACCACCGGGAGUAAAUACCUACCUUUAGCCCUGGUUAGUGCCAACGACCGGGACAAAAGCUUUAGUCCCGGUUAGUGUCACAAACCGGGGCUAAAGGUUUGUAUUUACUCCCGGUUGGUAACACCAACCGGGACUAAAGGUCCCUCUCCGACAGCGCCUGACACCAGAGGUUGGGGAGGGACCGUUAGUCCCGGUUGGCUUUACCAACCGGGACUAAAGAUUUCUUUUGUCCCGGGUGCUAAAAAUACCGGGACUAAAGCUCAUUUGGCACAUCGACGAAAGGUCUGUUCUCUAGUAGUGUACAAUCGGUUCUAGUUUCAGGUCGAGGAUGUCUUGUUAAAUGGUCUCUUUUGUCUCGUGAUCGACGACCCUCAUUUGCACAAACAAAUCUACAUGAUGUAAUUUUGCCAUCAGAUGUAUACCUUUUCCUCACCUCAAAGCCUUUUUGCCCACCAUAGCUAAGCCAAAAUGCCCAAGCCUCAUCUGAAUUUCUAAAUUACAUGCCAACAUAUGGUGCCAAACAAGGCAUCAAGGUCUCACUGUACAAGAAGAAGAAUACUACCAAGUAUGAGACUAAUGCAUAAAUAUACUAACCCAAAAACUCAUUUAAUCUUUUACUAAAAUUUGUGCCAAAGAGAACAUGAGUAGCGAUACUUGGGGACAACUAAAACUUACGAUAAAACAAGAUGGGGUUGUAUUACUUACGCAUUGGAACAUCGGUGUACUGUGUUAGCAUCUUCUUUCAUCUUCAGUAGCAUAGAAGUAAAUUUGAUUGCAGCCGUAAACUUGAGCUUCAGUCAAUCACUUCUUCGCCUUUGUAUCUCUCUCUAUCUCUCCUUUUUUCCCUUUGGAAGUAAAAGGAAGGCUAAAUAAUUGGGGAUAUUUUUCUCGCGCGAAAAUCUGCAGCCUUUGGUGCUAUUUUCCCUCCCACCAUCAGCAACAGGUAUGUUGUGGAUCUGGUUUCUUCAUAACCUGGUCAAAUCAAUAACGUAUAGUUAUCAUCACACGAUGAAAAUUACCUAGAGAAAACAAAGCAAUCAUCAAAGGUAGGGGAAAAAGACAUAGUGCUUCACAAAUCAUGCCGCUGCAAGUUAUUCACUGCGCGAGCAUCCUCAGGCACCAAUAAAAUUAUACUGAUAAACAAAGAAAAAAAAUGCAGCAGUUCAUGAGUUCUUACGAGGAUAUCUGCCCAUUCUUACCUAAAGGGACAGGUUGCCCUAUUCCAAGAUCUAAUCAACAAACCUAGGGUUUUUAAAAUGCCAAGCCACAAACAUAUAAAAGCAGACCAGCACAUUUCAGCCCCAAAUACAAAUAAACGAAUCCUACAAGGCUAACGCCGCCGCCAUCAGUAAUUUAGUCUAGCCUCAUGAAGAAGUUGAACUAAAGAAAACCUAGGAUCGAACAUGUACCUCGUUCACCCAGUUCAUGUUUCAGUCUUCAGCGCAUCCCCUCCAGUGAUUGCGGCUCGAGGCUACCAGUUCGAGCAGCAGGUCCGGGAGGUCCAGCGAGCGGCGGCCACCGGCUCGAGGCGCGUACAGGGGGAGCGGCGGGGGAGGCGCGACGAGCCCGAUGGCGCUCCGUCACUCUGUGUCCACGCAGAAAGGAAGAUGAGGCACGCCCAAACGAAGAAACAAUAAAGGGAGAAUGACAUGUGGGAUCGAUUGAUAACAGGUGAGACCUGUUGAUAACGGUCGUUAGUAAUGUUAAAACCUGUGUCAUCCCUUCAGGUUUUGAUUGACAAUUUGCAAUGAUAUGUGUGUAUUUCAUUACAACUCUUUUAAUAUAAAAAUUCUUAGCAAGUCGCUAUUUUAUUUGGCAAGUCAAAAAAUCUUUCUCCAACAAUAAAUCAUCAUAAGGGUGGUUUUUUUCCUGGAGCUAUUUGCAAAGUGAACAUAAAACUUUCUCGUAAUUAAUCGAACCCAAAUCAAAAAUUUUUUCUCUCUACGCAGUUUUACAAAGUGAACAUGGUAAAAAGUUUCUAUUUGCAUAGAUGCCCUUCUCUCCGUCUACGGCGACAGACGGAGCACAACGGCGGUCUCGCGGCUCUGGCACCGGCGUCAGGCGUCGCGCUCGUGGCCGACGGCGCGCCAGGCGGUGGGCGGUGGCCGAGCAGCGGCGGCGGGGUGAGCUGCGGCCGCGCUCGCGGCGGGAGGCGCGCCGGACGGCGGGUGGCGGGCGAUGGUCGGGUAGCGCGGUGCGAGGACGGGACGGACAAGCGGACUGGUGCAGCUCCGGAUUCAUCAAUUAGUGCAAUAUGUUGUAACCCCGAAUGUCGUGCACAGUAUUAAAUUCAUGCAUCACGUAUUUUAAUGCAGAUAAUACUGAAGAGAAACCUGUCAUGCCACUAGAGUGCAUACUAGCUAGUCUCUAGCAACAUCAAAACGUGAGAUGGUCAAGUUCAAGACAAAUUCUAAAUUCACGAUAAAAAGGCCAACCAUAGCAAUACACAACACAAACAGGAUGCCCAUAACCAUUCUAGACACACACACACAAAAAAAAGGCCACAAAACUCGCCUCAGAAAAGGCACCUGAGAAAAUCACCUUAGGUGAACCUCUACUGCUCUAGAGACUAGAGCCAGCAGCCGCGCACCCACAUCACUAACAGAGACAUCAUUUGGCCGCACAUCUCAGACGCAGCUCGUCACAGACAGCCCGCAGUCCCGCACGAUCGCUCACCUCGACCGCAACCAAAUUCCCAAGCGCACGCAGCAACACCGAGAUCCAAGCCACGGCACCAACAAGACUAAACGGAAACAGGGUCCUGGGUCCCCAAAAAACGCUCGCCCAAUUCUACACACGGAAGCGCCGCCCGCAAUCCCCACUACAAUUCCCCCCUGAAUCGUGUGCUUGAUAUCCAGUGUUCACUUAUAGUCUGGUCAUCUUAUCGUCGAUGGAGAAAAUGGGCCAACUAGGGCCCAAGCAGGGGGCGCCACCACCGCUGCAGCUGGGCUGCCCUAGGAGGGGCGCACACCCAAGAGGGGAGGGGCGCCAUGCCUACCACUGUCGUCGUCUCCGUCUUUGCUAUCUGUGGUUACCAUAUCUAGUCGCAGUUGGUUUUAGAAAGAGUUUAUUCAGAUAGAAAGUUGAGUUUUUGUUAGAUGGAAAAGAGAAUCUACGUUCGAUAAGAAUCUCCUAGUUUGCUUGCAAGUCAAGUCCCCUAGGGACUAUAAAUACUUAGGGAUAUGUAACGAGAUCAAUCAAGUAAUAGACGAGUGAAAGCCCUUUCCCUAUCUCUCUUCUCUCUCUCUCUCUCUCUCUCUCUCUCUCGCUUGCACACCACCCCCUCUCCCUUCCCUAGCCGCCGCCAACCUUGCCUACACCGUCAGUGACCGCCUCGGUCAUGACUAUUACACCUAGUAUCCAGAGACCAUAUUGAUCGCCAUGCUGCUACUAUGGCCAAAUUAGCUGAGAUCCAAAAGCUCAACGCUAAUUUCUCCAAAGACAUUAUUGCCAAGAUCGACACUGUCCACUCACAGAUUACCGACGUCAACAGCCACCUCAACACCUUCGAGAUGAGAUGCUUGGACAAGGACAUGGUUGACGAGCUUGAGCGUGGGAAGCAGCUACUCUCCAUCAAGCUAGAUGACACCAGAGAUGCAAUGGAGAAAGCUAGUUGUGACUUCAUCAAGGUGUAGACCGGAACUCGCCGCCAAGCUAGAGGCUAAGCUCUUCUGCAAGGAGCCCAAACCAGAGAUCCAUCUAGGUAGAGUUGCACCAACCACGUUCUUAGCACUGGAGAUCCAUCCCCACAUGUUGUCCUUCAUGACAUGCAAUGGCAAGGAGGACCCCUGCCACGGAUCAACAGUGAGAGCUAUUCUUUGGUCAAUGGAGCCUAGAGAGAAAAAACAUGGCAUGCUUCUUACCAUCUAACUAGUGCCGCACAAUAGUGGUACAUGAGACUCUUACAGGAUGAUGAUGUGACAAACUAGGCAUAGUUUGCUCAGUGCGUCAAUGAGCGCUUUGGACCUCCCAUGAAGCGUAAUCCUCUAGGUGAUCUCACCUCCCUAUGCAAGAUGAGAACCAUCAACGAAUACAUGGAGCGCUUCCUAGUGCACGUGGCUUAGGCUGGUAACCUUGACAAACGCUAGCAAGUCGACAUCUACAUCGCUGGCCUCCUAGAACCACUAAAUACGGAUGUCGAGCUGCUCAACCCGCAGGACAUGAAGACGGCCAUGUCUCUAUCACAGCCAUAUAAGUGGCAUUUAGCGGUCGUCAAUGAAGCCAACAAGGCAUUGGUUUUUAAGCUAGGGUGACUUCCUCCACCGAAGGUGACUACAACCAUGAUAACAACGACCACACCUACGACAACUAUGAUGGGUGCCACGUCACCAACACCCCACCCCUUCAAGCAUCUUACCGAUAAAGAGAUGGCGGUACAAUGUAGCGUUGGUCUCUGCUUUAGCUGUGAUGAGUUAUUGUCAUGUGGCCACAAGUGCAAAUUGUUGUUCGACAACACCAUUGUUAACAACUAUGACCUGGAGGAGGCUGAUGAUAGCCUCAUGAUGAUGAUCAGCAGGCUCCACAUAGAAGUCCAAGGCGCCUCCCUCAUGUACAUCGAGUGGAUGAUGAAUUACACAGGCGGUCUUAGUGGAUUUGGGAUUGACACAUAACGUCAUCAACAUCAACAUCGCCCGCUCCUUUGGUCUCUAGGAUCAGUGCAUCAACAUAACCAUACUCGUUGGCAACAACAAUGAGGUGCCAUGCCAUGGAGCAUCCUUCCAAGUACCACUAUGCAUCGGUAGCGACUCCUUUGACAUCGACACCUUCCUCUUCGACAUUAGCAACAUCAUCCAUGUCAUUCUCGGCAUGCCUUGGCUAGCUAGCUUCGAGCGUAUUACUCGGGACUUCAUCAGCAUGGAGAUGCUCUACUUCUACAACAGGCAUCCAAACACCUUCCAUGGCUCCCUUUUUCAUUAGGCGCAAAUAAUGGUGCUUGCACUCCUGGCACCCCCACUAAAGGUAUGUGAAAGAUCAGACUUCACCACUAGAACCUCCUUGUAAUGUGAUGAACAGGUCACAAAGAGCUUGACUCCCCAAUGCCCUUGACCUCUUUGAAGACCCCAAUGGCAUCAUGCUCACGCACCUACGCUAGGCCGUCAGAGAGCAGCAUGAGCUCUAUACAAUCACUAUGGCCAUCAUGGAGGGCCAGGUUGUGAAUGCUUGGUCUUUAGACAAAGGUCUCAUCUUCUUUGAUGGGUGAUUCUACCUACCUACAACCUUGGUGUCGCUACUGAGCCUUUUAUAGGUUUGUUGACAUGGUGGUUCCGCUAGCAUGGAGCUGCUAGCAUUGGGAGCGCAUGAACCACCGACACAAAGAAGGAUAGUUAACUGGGGUACCCUCCCAUAUUAUCUUGGGUCAUCCCUAGUUACUAUGACAUCCUAUAGUGGCAAUGAUGGUGAUCUUCUUCGACACAUUGAACCUUGGACCAUCCAUGUCGACAACAUCAACAUCGGGCUUCUUCUAGGCUCCAUCGACCACCGCAUGUCACCAGGCAAAUUCAACCGAGGGGCCUUCGUCUUUGGCUCCAUGUUGGACCUCAUGACAUCACCACCAACAUGCUCAACAAUGACAAUUUGGUGCCAAGUACAACUCUCCUCUAGCAUCGACAUCAACAACCACAUCCAUGGUUUCAUCACCCCUCCACGAGUGAUGCUUUUCUUCAGCUUCCAGGCCUCGGUACAAUGUCCUCUUCUUGUUGUAGCAAGGGCAGGCACAUAAAUGGGAUCUUCAGGCAACAUCUUCUACUAUCUCUUUGGCUACAUCGGCAACCUCUAGUACUGCUUUGAGUUUGCACCAGUAUGGGCAUGCGAGAACAUUAUUCUCACUAAUCCCCUUAGUGGCCACGUUAUGUGCUACUUGGAGGAGGUCCAGCACGAGGAGAUCUGCCACCAAAAGGAGUCAACGAAUGGGUCACAUGUCAGCACGAGGAGGCGUUGAGCGGAGGAGAGAGUACUGUCGAAUGCCCAACAUAGGCCAUACUUGUUGGCGGAGAAAAUGGGCCAACCAGGGCCCUAGCGGGGGGCACCAUUGCUGCCACAGCUAGGCUGCCCUAGGAGGGGCGCACGCCCAAGAGCGGAAGAGGCACCAUGCCCGCCACCACUAUCGUCUCCAUAAUUGCUACCUAUGGUUACCAUAGAUAGUUGUAGUUGGUUUUAUAAAGAGUUUGUGAAGAUAGAAAGUUGAGAGUUUAUUAGAUGUAAAGGAGAAUCCAUGUUCAAUCAGGAUCUUGUAGUUUUCUUGCAAAUCAAGUCCUCUAGGGACUAUAACUACUUAGGGAUAUGUAACGAGAUCAAUCAAGUAAUGGAUGAGCGAAAGCUCUUUCCCUAUCUCUCUUCUCUCUCUCUUGUGCGCCGCCCCCCUAGCUACUGUCCUAGCUCUCCAUGCCACCGCCCCUGCUUACACUGUUGUUGACCGCCCCGAUCACAACUAUUACAUGUAUAGUCUAUUUGUAUAUAUGAAAAAAAUAAUGAAGAACAUUUUUGAUCAUUAAACUAUGAGUUUUUAUUCUAGUCAUGAAACUCCUUUGGCCAUCCAACUAUCAGAACCGUGCAUGCGACAUCUCUCUCUCCAUGCGCAAUCUCUCUUAGCGCCAAUCACUCACAUUUUAAAUUUUAUUAGAGUGUAUAGCCAAUCUGACCCAGCUCGAGUAGGUGCCCCCUUAGGCCUAGGUCCACAAGAGCCCCCAACAAAUCAAUGCAUCGGGCCUAACUCAACACAAAAAAACUAGUCAGAUAUGUGAUGGUUUUCCCUCACUUAUAUGUUGUACUCUCCCAGCAUCAAUUUCCCUAGCAAUGCCCCAGAUCACACAUCAGACUCAACUCUUCGAAUCACACAAUUCUUAUGUAACCUCUAGAAGAUGUUAUCAAGGCCCCGAGUCCAACGCUCCAUGUCACAUACAACCCGAGUCCAAAUCCUUCAUGUCACACACAAUCCAUGUGAUCUUCAAGAUGUUAACGGGCUUCCUCACCACCACAUGGCCCCUAAGAUUUGUAGUUAGAGCACUUGGGCAACAUCUAGCAAACCUACGUUCGACUCUAUGUGGGAACGAAUUUAAACAGGUCUAGAAUAAAAAAACAUAAAAAAUAGGUUGGGGUUUUCCUGUAGACUUUGGUAAAGAAAAGAUUUUUCAAGCCUUUCGACCAUGGACUCUAACAUCAAUUCUUAGAGUGCAUAACAGAUCUAUUCCAGUUCUCACCUAUACCCACAAGUCAGUGCCCCUCUACGCCAGGUCCACUAAUAAAUCAAAGAAAUAAAGCUAACUCAACCUAAACGACUAGUCUAUAGAUUGGGAGAACCAUAAAAAAUGGCUAACAUAGAUGGGUGCGUCCCAUGCCUAUGUUAAUAAAUUAAAAAUAAUAGAGAUAGCCUGUCGACGGGGCCUGCUAAGUCAAUCCACAAGGCUCGCCAAGCACAUUGACUUGGUGCCCCUGCCCAAACACCUAUCUCACCAUUGCCUGAUAGAGCCUGAGGCCUAGAUCUUCCUCCUCUAGCUUGUUCCCAUCUACAUCGCCACUGAGAGCAGCCCCACGCACGCCAAGGGGAGAAGCGCGGCCUGCCCCUGUGCUGCUGGUCAGAGUUGCCCACAAAGUGCACAUCACUGAGCGUGCAUGUAAUUAAUGCCACCAUGGCCGACCUCGCUCCCUCUCUGUGAGUGCACUCCAUGUGCAUUGAGUACCAUCACGUGACCUUAUCAGCAUGUCUCUAGCACUAUUUCUUCCCUCCAUGAUGAGCUCAAGUGCAAGGCCACGACCCUCCCAAACUACUCCACGAUGAGCUCAAGUGCAAGGCCAGGCCCUCCCCAACUACUUAUUUGAGCCAAGGCAUUGCUGGAGCCGGGUUGCCCUCACAAGCUAUUCACAUCCCCAGUGGCGCACCACACUACCACUUGGGUUUUCCAUGGGUGACAACUUUCACUACUUAUCCAUUGAAUCUGAGCCUGUUGUGAGCUUACAAACACCUUGGAUAUCAUCCUCCACCCCUCUUUUGAGCUUGGCCAUGCCAAAUUUGGCCUAUAUGCCCAAUCAUGGCAAUCCUAGGAUCAGCGUUUGGCCACCGUGUGGGAGGGAAGUGCAAGGGAGCACGAGUGCACACUAGCUGCAGUGGCCUCCGCAGCUGGAGCCAAGUUCAUGGUGGGUGAUGGUGAUGGUGUGCACCAUGUCCAAGCAUGUAGCUAGCACUCUAGUGAGCAUUGUGGCCGGGUUAAACCAGUGAUGCAAUGGAAAUUAUAGGAGAGAACAGUUGGGAGAGAGGGAGAGGACUGCAGUUUAAGAGGAUGUUGUGGGGAAGAGAAAGAAGAGGGAACAUGAAAUAUGACAUGUGGGCCCAGCUAACAUGUGUGGUUCACUAAGCGAAAAUAGCUAGAUCUCUAGUUGUUAACAAUUUUGAUAGUGGAACUGUAAAAAACUUCUGGGUUUGAAGUUUCAUGGCACAAAUCAAUAUCUUAAUGAUAAAAAAAAAGGAUUUUCCCGAAAUCAGUGCUAUUUCAAACCAAGAAAACUGGAGGACAUUUUUGUUACCUUUUCACUCAAGAGGCAAAGUGCAUCAUCUGGCUGAAGAACUUGAAGGUUGCACACAACUCCAUGUUUUCCUGAGCAGUGGUAGGCAAUAUUCUCCUCCCUCGUAGUGAUAAUGAUUCGGCUCGUAUUUUCCAAUAGAGGUAAUAACUUUGGUUUUAUCAAGUCCCAUUCAGAGGUCUCAAAGAAAUCAUCUAGAACAAUCAAAGAACUUUUCUUCUCUAAUAGUCUUUUCAACUCCUUAGUCAAGUUGUCGACGUCCAUCAAUGCUAAUGAUUUCUUAUUGUUGUUUCCAUUUUCUAAUAGUUCUUGAUUCUUAGAAGAUCCUUCAUGUAGUUGUCUGGCCAAGCUCCUAAGGAACUCUUCAAGAUUGAAAGGACGCAUAAUUGUGAUGAAAACGUACUUCUCAAAUAUGUCACUCAACUUUGGGCUUUGAUAAACACCACCAACUAGGGUGGUUUUCCCAAGGCCACCCAUUCCCCACACAAAGAUCACCUGAAAUUGUUGGAUAUUAUCACUAUUUGAAACUAAGUCUAUAAUUUUAGAUAUUUCUCUGUUUCGCCCGAUAAGUUGCAAUUCCUCCAAACCACUCACACGCGUCCUAGUGCGACUAAGACUCUUUUUAGCCACCUUCUUCUCAUCAGCAUCCAUAGAUUGAUCAUCUGUAAUCUCACCAUGAGGUGCUAUUUGAUUGUCGGUACUUGUGGUUGCCACAUCCAAGAUAGACACUGGCUUCACCAAAUCCUCUCCAUUUUGGGAACCCUAAAUAAAAGAGAGAAAUAUUAAGGAACAACUUUUAGGCUUAAAUUUUCAUGAACAAUGUUUAGUUUGUUUUCAGUCAUGAAAGCAUAUCAUUAGUUUGUACCCUACUCCAAACCUUAGCUUGAGAUCCAAAUUUUCAUGACUUAUAUUAGAAUUCUCAAUAAGACACAUAUUAUAUGAAAUUUAAAGAAAUAAAUUUAAUCCAAAUGACGAGAGGAUACAUUUGCUAUAUCAAACCAUCUUACUAUAAUCUCUAUGAGAUAGAGGAAAAUAUAUCUAACUGGAUAUGAAAUCAAAUACUCCAUAUCAAAAUUAUGUGUAAAAUAGGAGCUUCAAAUUUAAUUGUGCAAUAGACCUGUGCUCGAUUACUUACAGGUACUAUCUUGCAGGUCAAUAUGUUAACCAGUCUACUACAUCCUAUACAUUAUUUUUAAGGCAAGACAUCUAAUAUAUUUACCUGGUAUAAUUAAGAUCACUGAAUAUGAAGCAUGCCAUCAUCAAUUGUGGCGUCAAACAACGGGGUCAAUAUGUUUUUAGGUACUUGCCUUUUUUUUUGGAUUGUUGUCUUAUUUGAUGUCUAGACCAUCUCCUUUUCUAGCAUGCGCUAGCUAAAUUCUAAGAUAUAGAUGUAUUUGUUUUCAAAAAUCCAAAUACAUAUAUUUGUGGCUGUAGUAUUAACAUGUUGAGUGCAUGCAUUCUCGAAAGGCAAAUGAAAUUCGUUGAGAAAAAAAAGGCACAAAUAAAACAAAGGACUGGAAGGAGCAUUCUUUUGUUGCAUUAGAUCAUGUGUUUCUAGUGCAAUGCUACUCCAUCUCCGAUCCAAGAGUAUUUUUAAAGCUUACUCUUUAAAUCAUCAUUCGGAGAGUUAUUUGAAUAAAACUCAUUUUCUGUAUCUUUUCACUGUCUAAUGGUUUUUCUGUAUUUUGUUUGCAUUCUAAAGAGUCAUUCUUAUUUUAUAUCUUUGGCUAGUGAGAAAUAUUUCUAGACUAGAAAAUGGCUAUAUUUAAAUAACCAAUUAAAGAAGUUAUUGGAGGAUAGUUUUUCACCAAAAUUUCUAUUCCUAACCAUUAGGAAGAAUAUAGUCUCUUAGAGCAUGUCCAAGAGUUCCCAAUAAUUUCGUCCCAAAACUAUCUAUGAUGUUUUCCAACAUGCCAAGAAGUAUUAGCAUAAGAUCAUUUCCAACCGUUUCUAAUAGUUCACUCCUAAAAUAUAGAAAUAAAUUCUAUCAGGAAUCCUAUACUAUAUCUAAAUUAUGCUAACCAUCUUUAUAUAUUAUUUGUCUCUAGUGCAUUUGCAUCAUUAAACCUUUUUUUACUCUUUAUUCAGUCUCUUCAUCUCUGAAUAAAUAUGGUGUUUUUUAAGAAGCAAUAUGGUGUUCUAUAUGCUUGGUUUUUGAUAAAUAAAUAAAUAAACACCAUAUUGCUUCUGAAAAAAAACUACAGUUUGCUAAAAAUGAUUCUUUGGUGAAUGUGCAACCAUUGCAAGUGCUAAAGUUCCUUUACCCCACAGUAACCCUUAUGCUCACUCUCUUAGGCUCAACUCGUCAUCAUUUCAAACUAAAUGACACGUUCAAAAUUAUAAAUAAAUAAAUAAAUAAAUAAACACCAUAUUGCUUCUUAAAAAACAGUUUGCUAAAAAUGAUUAUUUGGUUUUGAAACUUGGUCCUUGCGCAAAUUGUAGCUCAAACAGAUGGGUGUAUCAUGCUAUAUAUCUCCCUCAUUCCUCCAAAAGUGUGAUGUUACUCCUCUGUCUCAAAAUAUAAAGCAUCACUACCGGAGAGCCGGUCUUUGCCGUGUGUCCCUCCGUUUGCCGUGAGCAACACCAGACACACGGUAUAUCUAUCAUUUGCCGUGUGUUGCACAUGGCAAACACCAGGCACACGGCGAACUCAACUUUUGCCGUGAGCAACACACGGCAAAAACAUGGCACACGGCAAAAGCUAACCCACGCUAACGUCCACCUCCAACGGUCAACGUUUGCCGUGUGCGGCCAUUAGGCACACGGCAAAGCCUGGGUUUGCCGUGUGCCAGGGGUGCGACACACGGCAAAUAAUUUAUCUUUUUUUCAGUUUUUGUCCUCAAAAUUUUUCCUUCUCUACACAUUCACCAUUUGUAACUCCAUACUCAAAUUUCAUAAAAUUUAAAACAUGUUUGCUAUAUUUUUGCAAUUAACAUUAUUUAUUUUCAUUUUUCUGGUUGCGUUCAAAUUUGAACUACGAGUCAAUAAAAUAGUUGUAAAAAAUAUCAAAAAAAUAAUAUUCAUGUUACCCAAUCCUGUUUGAGAACACACAUUCGAAAUGAAAAUGACUUUUGAAUGCCGUGGUUAGGAGACACGACGCGGAACGUGCGUCAGUACAUUUCAAAAAUUCUAAUAAAUGCUAUUUUAUUCCGUAAAUCCCGAAACUUGUAGAUAUGUCAUGUUAUCAUACAUAGAGGCCAUAAAAAAAGUUUGGAAAGAUUUCGAACAAGUUGUCAUGUAUGAUGUAUAGAAACCACACAGUCUUGUAAGAAGUUGCACAGAGAUAAGAGUGAAGAAGAAUGAGUUGGAGUAGAUUUGACUUUUAUAUUUGAGUUUGAUUUUAAAACUUUUUCUAUAGGCACUACACCAUAUAGGUUGUGUCGUGUCCAAGUUUAGGAAUUUUUCGGAAUUGUUUACUAUUUCUUAAUUAUUUUCAGCAUUUUAAUUGAAAAUUUUAAAAUUUCAAUUUUUUAAAUAACCUCGGAUGGAAAAACUCUCUAAAUAAACUUUAUAGAUCUCAAAAAGUUAUGAAACUCUUUAGUUGACAACUUUUUAUUUUGGAAUCAUCUUGUCAUGCAAAAACUACGUUUGAAUUUCUCAAAUUUAAAAUUCAAAUUUUGUAAACGACCUCGGAUGAAGAAACUCCCUAAAUGAAAAUUGUAGAUCCCAAAAAUUUAUAAAACUUUGUAGUUUACAACUUUUUGAUUUGAAAUCAUUUAGAACCUCAAAUUAUCAAUUUACACAUAAUUUGAUAUAAUAUUUGAGCAACUGAAAUGCAAUAUAAUGACAAGUCAUAGUGUGGUGCAGUGGCUAAGAGCUAAGUAACACGAGGGAGAGGUCAUGGGUUCGAAUCCCAUGGGCCGCAAAAAAAUUCAGGACUUUUGAUAUUUUUCGUUGGGGUUUGUCGUGUGCCCAACCCUGACACACGGCAAAUAUUGAGGCCGUCUUCCGCCGUUCGUUAUAUUUUCUUUAUCGUGUGUCAAGAUUGACUCACGGCAAAGUUUCGCCGUGUGCCCAUAAUUUGGUCGUGAGUAAAAAUAGGGUUCACCGUGAAAAAGUUUGUCGUGUGUUCUUUGCCGUGAGCAACACACGGCAAAGCCUUCGCCGUGUGUAAUUUGGACUUUGCCGUGUGCACCAGGCACACGGCAAACCCCUGCUGUCCGGUAGUGCAUGCAUGUAUUUCAAAAAUCAAAUUUUGUUAUCUUUAACCAACUAGUUGUUUAAUCAUACAAAAAGUUGAUAGUACAAAAGCGGUAUCAUUAGGUUUGUGUUUAUAAAUACUUUCUAAUAAUAAUGCUUUUGUUGUCAUAAUUACAUACUAUAAGAGAAAUUAACCGAUUUUUUCUUGAAUAUGUAAGAACAUUGCGUAUCAUUGUACUAAGAAGAUAGAAGUUUUAAAAUCAAGAGAGAUCAUUCCCAGCUAGUAGUUUCCUAGCUGAUUUGGGCCUCUAAAUUUGUGACCACCUGAGCCGGGUUUAAUGUUGUCAUCAUCCUCUCAAAUUCAUUGAAUCUCUCCGCCAGCGGGGAUGCCUCCUCCCCGUCGGCUCCUACCUAGCGCUCAACGACGCUUGUCAUAAAAAAAAUCCUUUGUUGGGUGAAACAAUCACACAAACAUUUGAAUAUAGGUGUAAAAUUGUAUUCAUUUUACGGUUUUACUGUACAUGUCAAAGAGGUAUUUAAAGAGGUCAUAGCCCUCAUAAGUCGUAUACAAAUGACCAUUUUACCCCUCUUUAUAAUCAAUACAACCCCUUUAAAUUACAGGGGUGUAGGUGUCCUUUCAUCUUCCAGAGUUCAUUCUUCAUUAUCUUUUGUCAAUCUUAGAAGUCACUUUCUUCAAAGGUGUCUUCGCGCACCUGAACUUGAAUGUUUUAUCAUGAAUCUUCUAGACUUAAGUCGAGCGAACUCUUCGAUCAUUCUUCACAUUACCUAGGCAAACGUGUUUGCUUCAAGCAAAGUCCAUGGUCUUUUUACUUGUUCUGAGCGAAGUCAUUUUUUCCUCAUUUGCUUUAAGGUUCUGAAAGCAAACUUUUGUACAGAGGUUAGAUGUUCAACUCCAAAGUUUUAGGGCUGCAUUUUUUAUCGAAGUCAAAUCUCAACAUCGUCUGCCCCUCCUCUCUCUUUACCAGACUUGAGAAAUUAAUAUUUUAAUAGAUACAAUGUCUUCUGGUAAAUGACCAUGAUUUUGUAAUGGUGCCUAGCACAUAUUAGUGUGUUAUUGACUUAUUGGUGUGAAAUGGUCAAUUUCAUUGAAGUUGGAUGUCCAUAGCGAUUUGCCAAACAAAAAAUAAUAUUUGGUUUUGAAUUGUUCUUGACUAUCUCUUUCCUCAUGUCUAAUAGCUUUAGCUACGCAUCUAGAUAUAUAUUAUAUCGAUAUAUAAUAAAAUUUAUGUAUCUAUAAAAGCCUAACAAUUUUGAAUUUGGAACGGAGUGAGUAAUAGGUAGAUAGAGAAAAGAAGAGAUAGAAAGUAUUAGAGAUAGAGACUAGCAUGUCUUGACGGCUUUGUGAGGAAUCGACUGAUUUUAGAACUCUGGUAUGGCACUGAUAGACAAUCCGGCAUAUUUUCAGUUGAUUUAUGUUGUAGUAUAUGUUAAUGCCGACAAGUACAUUUAAGGCCAGUCUCAAUACAUGUUUCAUGAAAGUGUCAUGCAUAUUAAAUAGGGUGCCACAUAAGUAUAAUUGCUGACUUGGUAGGGCCAUUAAAUGAAGGAGUUUCGUCAUCAUAUGAGAGAGGAGUUUCAUCCCCAUGAAACUCUUGUGGCUCGGUUACCUAGCUUAUAGUCUUAGUAACUGUGUCAUAAAACUAUGCACUGAGACUAGUCUAAGAGGAAAACUAAGCCGCAGCUUUGUAAGCUUAAACGCAUUUUUUAUAAGUUUCAUAAAACAAGGCAUUAUAUGUACCUUAUGCCUUCGAUCGAAACAUUAUUUUAAUUUCAAUUUUAAAAAUAUCUUCCCCAAUACAAAGUUGGAACUACAACAAGGUCUUGUUUAGUUCCUGCAAAAGGGUUUUUUAGUACUAUAACAUAUUUCUAAUUAUAGCAAUUAGUAUUCAAUCAUUAAUUAUCACAAUAUAUAUAAAUUAUAUAAUAAAUUAUUUUUUAUCUAUAUUUAAUACUCCAUAGAUAUAUCCAAACAUGGGUGAAAAACAAGGCCUUAGUUUUAUUCUUUAUAUGAGCUCUUCCUAAGCCCAGGGAAAGGGACACACAAACAACAAACCGAUCCGCUUUAUCUGAGGCUGAGCCCAGGGACCGAAGUUCAACUCUACUCAGAGGCCAGGGACCAAGGUUUAAUUAUUUGAAAUUGACAGGGGCCGCACGAGUGCAAAAACCAAUCCGCCUUAUCUGAUCUCAGGGACAGUUCAUCCAAAAUAAAAUACAUCUGAGCCCAGGGACCAAACUUUAAUUAUAUUUCUCAGAGCUAGGGAUCAAAAGUUUAAUUCUUUAAAAUUGGCAGGGGCCGCGCGAACGCGUACCCCCUCUACCACAAAUUAUGACGUCCACUCUCCCUCUUGGGGAGAUGGUAAGCUAGCGCACCCGCCAAGUGCAAUGCGGGCCACUGACCUAGGCCACGGGCCUUCAUGACCAACCGUCGACCCCGUCCAGGUAAGUAUGGAGCAACGGUGCAGGGGGCGCUUGUCUUAUAGCGGGAGCUCGCAGCGCAUCCAGCUUCCGCUGCCGAGGUGGUGCUAAACGAAGCGUUCUGCCGUGUUCUGCCGCUGAGUUUUUAACUUAUGGUGGGCUGCCCGAGACAUAGAGACGUAUAUGGGCCUUUAGGAUUUGGCCCACUAGGAACAGUAAGACUGCAGGCUGCAAUGAAUCUGCUAGGCUCCCUAGUUGUUCCUAAAAAAAAAGGGUAUGGGAAUAGUUUUCUAGGAUUAUUAUAAUUUAUAAGCUCUGUUGUUUUUUCUAAUCUGCAGCUACAUGCUCUCGUGGUAUAAAUGAGAGAAUUUUUUUGGAAAAAAAAGGCAAGAAAACUUACACAUGCUGCUACUCUGCUUUGAGACUGGGCAAGAGAAUGGCUUAAACCACAACCUGAACCUGAAGCGAACAAGUCCAAGAUUAUUUCUUAAUAAUAGGUUUAUGACUAUGCGUUGCAACAUUAGAAAAAAAAAAGUAAAAAAAAAUUUUUUGACCACAAUGAGGAGGGGCACAAAAACACAUGUAGUUGGGAUAAUUCCUGAUUUGUUAGGGCACUCCCAAUGCAGACUCUAUCAUAGUUUCUAUAGUUAUUUAUUAUCUCUCUAUUUAUUGACUUUUGCUGAUGUGACAUUGUAUUUAUUGAACAAAGAGAGGAGAAAUACAAGAAACCGAGUCUCUUGGUGUCCGCGCGUGGCCCGUGUAGCCGCCGGGCAUGUGUGACUGCGCCGAGCCGCACAGCAUCAGCCUCGCGCAAGUCCACGAUGCGCUCGCCGCCCCUGCAGUACACGGUUAUUUACUGAGUUUUAUUAUUCCUCUGUCCGUGAUGAUCGCAAUCGAAUCCGGCUCGUGAACCGUACGUGUUUCAGUCAACGUGCCAUCCGGAUUUAUACCCCUCCCUCCCUCCCUCCCGUCGCCGCUCCUUUCUUCUUUGUUUUCAAAAUACCUCGCCACAUCCGUCUCCAUCGUGCAGAAAUCUCACCAGCACCGUACCUCUCACCGUCGCCGCGACACCAUCUAGCUAGCUAGCUCGCCCGCACCUCACCGACGCCGCGGCUCAUCCAAUCACCUCACCGCAGCAUUCUGUACGUGCGGAUGUGGCAGCUCCAAUUAAUCACCUAGCUUCUUAGCUCUGGAGUCUGGACGGUGGCGGCUGCGGCGUACCAUCUGCAAUGACCGCGACGUCCGUUUCUCACCAGCGACCUCGGCUACAACCUGCAACGGCGCCCGACGGCUGCGGCUCAUCCCACCCCGUUGCCACCGGUGAGUGUGGCAUGUGUGCUUGCAGCCCUGUUCACCGUCGCUGAGUGUGGCAUCUGCUGCAGGCGGCGAUCGACGACCUUCUGACGCUCCUCUUUGUGGUGGUUUCAGCAAUGAUGACGCGCCGGUGGUGUGGAUAUAUAUGGCGAUGCCUCCCUUCUACACCCUCCGGCCAGCCAUGGGUGAAUCCCAUGUUAUUCUUUUUCGGUUUUCAACUUUCUUUAUGGCCUUCGUUGCAGUUUGAAAGGAUUCCUUGUGGCGUCAAUAAUGAUCUGGACAUCCCGUGCCUGGUGGCACGGAUCCGAUCGACGGCGGUUCAAGCAGAUCGACGACGAUUCUUUUUUUUUUUUUUGUGAAUGAUGAUUAAUUCAUUCUAAAUAGGUUUAAGGUUGCAGGAGUUGAUUUUCUACACCAUGUAAUUCUUAUAAUACAGAUACAAGUUUCCGCUAUUUUUAUUGGCCAUUCCUGUUCUUGUACACGAGCAAUACUGGUUAAUUCAUGUCAUUGUGUUAUAAAGGUUACCAAUUCAUAAUUACUAUUAUUCACUAUGAAUAAAAAACUUAUUCAUGUUAGAAAAAAACUUAUUCCUGUUAAAAAGUAGUCUAACCAGAAACCGGACACCUUUUACUUCUCAUAUCCAAAUUUACCACUCACAUAUCAGUACGGAGAAACUCCAGCCCAAGUCUUUUAUUUACAAGCUAUGAUAAAAAAAAGUAGGGGCUCAAAUUAAGACCCAACUCCAAUGAAAAAAACAGACCAAGUCCUUAUCUCACAUAUUUUUGUUUUAAUUUAUGGGUGGGGAGAGAAAAGUGGGUAGGAUCCAUUGGAUAGGAGGGUUCUAGAUGGGAGGGGCUGAAACUAUAAUUUGGAAGGGCAUGGAAAAUGGGAGCCCAAGUAGAAGGUGGGUUGGAGUUAAUUUUUUUGAUCAAGUCCUUAGAUUUAGAAUAGAGACUUGUUUAGGAGGUGGGCUGGAGUUGCUCAACAAUGAUACAAUUAGUAACAAAAGUCUAUCCGGAGACUGGAUGCCUCAUUGAUUAGUACAGACAAAUUUACCGCACAUAGCCAACCUUUUGUUACUAAAAAUUGUCAUUGUAAAUUCUAAAAUAUAUCUUAUUCAACAUGAAGUUGGCUGUAAUAUUUACGAAUCCAGAGAUAAUUUUACUCCUAAGCGCCUGGACGAAAUUAUUUAUAAGCUCAAAAGAUAAUAUCAGUAAUAAAAAAUACUCUGACUGUAGAACGACUAUGACAACCAAUUUAAUUGCCUACUGCUAAGGCUGAAAAAAUUUAUAGACCAAAAUAAAAAUCUUAGUAAUAAAAACAGGCUGACCACGUUGGUGAUUAUUACAAGAAAUUUUACUAGACACGCCCAAACAGAAUUAUUUACAAGCAUAACUAUUAAUAAUAAAAAUUCUCCCAUCCAGCCCGCUAGAUUAGCGCAACUAAAUUUACUGCUCACAAAUCCCAACAAAAUUAUUAAUGGGCCAAACGAUAAUAUUAGUAAUAAAAUAAUACUAGUAAUAAAAAAAUACUUCGCUGAUUACCACAUACAAAUUUACUGCUCAUAGGUUUGGAUGGAAUUCUAUACUCAAUGAAAUAAUAUUAUUAGUAAUAAAAUUUGUCUAAUUGGAGACCAGAGAUGUGGGUGAUUAACAUAGGUAAAUUUAUCGUUCAAAAACCAGAAUACAAUUAUUUACUUAAUAAAAUAAUACUAUCAGUAUUAAAAAAAAGUCUUGCUAGAGACCGAACACGCUGGUGCUUAUAGCACUGAGAAAUUUAUUGCUCACAUACCAGGAUAGAAUUAUUUAUGUAACAAAAUAAUACUAUUAUUAGUAGAAAAAGUCUCACCAGAGACUAAACACCCUGUUGAUUAGCAUAGAGAAAUUUACUGCCCAUAGGCCAGGAUGGAAACAUUUAAUGUAAGCAAUAAUACUAUAGUAACAAAAGUAGUCUAAUUGAAGACUGAACACCGGUUGCUUAUCGUACCCAAAUUUACCACUCACAUGUCAGUAUGGAAUUAUUUUUUAACAAAAUGAUACAAUUUAUAAUAAAAAGUCUAUCCAAAGACCGGAUGCGCUAAUGCACUAAUAGAAGUUGGUGAUGUUCAAUGGUAGGAGCGUAUUAUCCGCAACGAUUCACCCAAAACGACUGCGAAGGUUUGAGGAAACUAAGCAAAAGGGUUGUAUUGAGGGGGGCCUCGUCGGGUCCGGCCGUUCGGACGGAACGCGUCGUCCGGCAGACUCCCGCGCCCCAAUUCCCGCCUGGCGCCCACGACGAUUCCUCUUUUUCUUUUAGGAGAUCAAAUAGCACCGUGCACUAUAUAUUUAAUGAACCUUAUUAACUGUUUGUUGGUCGAAUUAUUUUGACUGUUUUUCUGAACUGUUUUUUUAGAGCGAGCUAUACAUUUUCUAAAUAACUGUUAUUGAAUAAAUUAGUUGAUAAUGGUUUUAGUGCCGAAAAUUACAUUUACCUCUGCAGCGCAGGUCGUUUUCAGACUGUUUCCAAAUUAGACCUUUAAUAAUGUACUUUUUCUAUGGCCGGUGCUGGUACGUAUUUAUUCUCACCCAUAAUAAUUAAUUUUGGCUUGUGACUUUAUCAUGCGCAGCUAGUGCGAGGAGAUAGUGGAGCAACAUAUCCAUGUUAGUUACGACGCAUGCACAUAAUGACUUUUAAUGAAAAAAGUCAUAACUCUUAAACAAAAUAUCCAAAUUAAAUUUCGAUUACACCAUUUGAUUUCUUGUAAUAAAUCCUUCAAAACAAGAUCUCACAUGGAUAUAUUUAGAUAAAAUUUUAAUAACGAAUAAUUAUCAUAUAAAGAUAGAACAUUUUUGUAUUGAGCUGAGACGAUGUUUAAGGUUUAAAAAAUAAUGUUCUAUCUUCAUAAUAAAAUAUUCUAAGAACCGUAUUGGUAUUAUAAACAUGGCGACGAUGUUCCAUCUUCAUUAAAAAAUAAUGUUCCAUCUUCAUAAGAGACGAUGUUCCAUCUUCGUUAUAGUUAGCAAAUCAAGUAUCCAAAUUAAAUUCAGAUUGCACUAUUGGAUUCCUUAUACUAAAUGCUUCAAAAUAAGAUCUCAACAUGAAUAUAUUCAGAUAAAGUUUUAUUAACGAAUAUGUAUUUUAUAAAGAUAGAAUAUUUUCUUUUAUUAUUGAAUAAAGGUGGUGUUCUAGAUUCAUAAAACAAUAUUCCGCCUUCACAGAAAAAUGUUUUAAAUUUAGAAAAAACAAUAUUCCAUAUGAAAACACACUUAAAUGAUUGGUAUUAUAAUACCGAUAAAUAAAUAAAAUAAAAAUAUAGAAUUAUAUAAUAAAUAACAUUACACAAGUAGAACAUCAUGUGUAUAAUAUAACAAAUGAAACAUGGGAAAAUACUACAUAACAUGUUGUAUAAAUACUACAUAACAUGUUGUAUGAAUACUACAUAAUAUGUUGUGAAAAUACUUAAAGAUAAUCAUAAAGUAUCUCAUUCAUCAUGUGUAUACCAUAUACAAUGGAAUAUGGAAAAAAUAAAAGGCAAACAUCACAUGUAUGUUAAGUGAACAUAACUAAAUACAUUACGGAACAUCACUAAAUAUAUUAUAGAACAUCACAAAUACAUUACAUGAACAUCACUCAGUACAUCAUAGAACACCACAUGUAUACUAAGUGAACAUCACUAAAUACACCAUAGAACAUUACUAAAUACAUUAUAGAACAUCAUAUAUAUAUUACCUGAACAUCACUAAAUAUAUCAAAAAAACAUCACAUGUAUACUAAAUGAACGUCACUAAAUUCACUAUCGAACAUUAACAUGAACAUCACUAAAUACAUCAUAGAGCAUCACUAAAUACAAUAUAGAACACCAUUAAAUACACUAUAGAACAUCACAUAUAUAUUACGUGAAUAUCACUAUGUACAUCAUCAUAUAUACUAAGUGAACAUCACUAAAUGAACCAUCGAACAUCACCAAAUGCAAUAUAGAACAUCGCCAAAUACAAUAUAGAAUGUUGCAUUAUCAGAUAUAUAUUACACGAACAUCACAAAAAAAAUCGUAGAACAUCACAAAAAUACCACAUGAACAUCAAAAAAAUAUCAUAGAACAUUACAUGUAUAACACAUGAACAUCAUAGAAAACCAUAGAACAUUACAUAUACUACAUAAACAUCAUAAAAAAACAUCAAAAAACAUGGCAUUGUAUACCACAUAAACGUUGCAAAAAACACCAUUUUACAUCACAUCUCAUGAAAUAUAGAAAAGAAAAAAGUAAAUAUAAAAAAUAAUUAAGUAAGAUAAAGUAGAAAAAUAAAAAAUCUAUAAAAAACAUAAAGACAAAAAAGAAAUAAAAAAGAAUAAAUAAAACUAAUUAAUGAUAGUAAAUAAAAAAUAAAAUAAAAAUAAUAUGGAAAAUUGAAUGAAACAGAAACAAAAAAUAAUAUCACUCGCUUCCUAUGAUAUUAGUCCACUAAAAAAAAUUAAACAACCACCAUAGGAUCAAUAUCAAGACGUUUGUAGCGUUUCAAUCACAUGCAUGCAUGUAUUCCACAAAAAUAAUCUAAUAAACACCUUUGUAACCAGCACUAAAUUAAUGUGUUGCCAAAAGAAACAAAAAAAUAAAAAGAUGAAUGAAAUAAAAAAUAAAAAAAAAGAAAGGGAAAAAUGAAGCGCAAAAAGGAAUAAAAAAUAAAGAGGAAAAAAUAAAAAAAAGAUAAAAAUAUAAAAUAACAUAAAAGAAAAAUAAAAAUAAAUUGAAUCUAUAAACAUGAAUUAGGGAAAAAGAAAAAGAAAAAAAACAAAAUAAAGAAAAGAAAAAAUCCCAAGAAAAAACAAAUAGGAACAACAACGGGCAGGAAGUAUAAAUGAAAAGAUAAAGAAAAAUAAAAUAAAAUAAGAAAAAAGAAAAAGAAAUAAAUAAAUAAAAAGAAAAAGAAAAAGAAAAAAAAAAGAGAAGAAAACUAACGGGGAGGGAAAAAUAAAUGAAACAUAAAAGGAAAGAAAAGAAGAAGAAAAGAAAAGGAAAGAAAAAACAAAAAAGGAAAAGAAAUUAAAAAAAAACAUACGUACCUGGCAGCCCCGUGCGCGCAGGAAUGAUUGAGCGGGAACCGUCGGACGACGUCUCCGGUCCGAACAUUCGGACCGGAAGAUUUCCGUGUAUUGAGGUGGGUGGGGGCAUGAAGUGUUUAGCGGCAUCCCAACUAUGUAAAAAAAGUGCAUUAUUACGACUGCAAUGGUAGGAGCGUCAUAUAUGCUGUUUUUAUUACUAAAGUUCCUUUAGACAAAGUUUCCCCAAAACUCGGACUCAGUUUCAAAACUAAUCGCCUUAUGCUUAGUUUCGGAUCAUCUUUCUUUAGCAAAAGGGUGGUGCUACGUGGCACUGCUGUCAGCACCCUUUAGUCCUGGCUCGUAAUACCAUCCGGGACUAAAAGGGGGGUCUUUAGUCCCAGAAGCGUAGUCUCGGCUCGGGAUCCGGGGCAAAAGCCCCUUCUCGGCCAGUACUAAAGAGCGAUCGUGUAGGAGUGAAUGGCUGGUAGUUCUAGACAUUAUUGUCGAUGGGAAAACCACCAUGUGCGGAUUGUGUGGCUGGCACUAGCACGAGUGCUGUUUCUAGUGUUACGACACUAAUUAAGUUGCUGCCUAUUGGUUCCUGGUGUGAAACUUUAUAGGGCGAUGUGUUAACUAGAACUGCUUUGUCAGCUCGUUACUUAGUUUUGAGCCUGUUGGUAUGUGUCUUUGCAUGCCCUGCCACGAUUUGGGGUCUUGUCAGCUCAUUUGCAUGGUUAGUUUUAUCCUUGAAGCCCCUAUCUGAUUUAAUGCAUGCUACAGCCAUAUCUGUGUUAAACUGUAUGUAAAGGCCAACGUUAAAUGACUGUCCUGGAAUGUUCAGUUCUUUUGGGGGAUAACAAUGGUACAUAUAUUCAUGUGGUUAAACCUCUGGUACUCCACCACUUCGGCUACUGAGUUCCACCACUUUGGGGGAGUUGUCGUCAGGACAUCGAUUCUACCACAGUCUUAAUCUGUACCCUAUUAGGCCCCCUAGCAAUCGAACACGAAAGCCAGCAGAUUGUAGCACAGCACCCUCCCUAAGCGCCUCUACACCAUUGGCGCUGGUCUCCUGGAUGGCUCUCACCAAAGCAACUUGCUAUCCCUCAAGCCGGGUGCCUUCAAAUUCUGACUAAUACUAGUAGCUAGUAGACUACUAGCUAGUUGCUGUGAUAUCAACAGCACAAUUUGUAGGAGACAGAUGCAUGAGGAUGUGAAUUAAAACACACAGCACGUUUGAUCGAACAUUUUGCUAUCCGAAGAAACCAGUGAUACUGUUGUCUUAUUUAGGAAGAAGAAGCGCAAACUACUAUUUCUGAUGUCACUGGAUCAUUAUCAGUUUCUACACUGCUUGUUCGUUGGAAUAUUGAUCAUUCUCUUUCCCAGUGCUCUCUUUCAUGCUUGACAUCCAUUCCUGCAACUGCAAGUACCAAUGUAUAGGCCGAGUCCAGUCUGAUGUUCCACAUAUCUAUCUAUUGGCAAACAAACCAUGGCUUGCACUCUUUGCUUCCCACUUCAAUAAAGCGCAUGCAUCUUGAAUGGUGACAAAAAAACAUCCAUUGCAGCAUAAAUGCCACGAUCGCAAGGAAUUUUUCUACAGCUAGUACUAUUAUACAAGAAAAACUAAAGAGCAGAUACUACAGCAGGAUUAAUAGAGUUCUCAACUAACACCACUUCUUUUGACUCUAAGCCACUAAUAGAAAACCGGUAGUAAGAAAGAAGAAGGGGGCCCCAUUAAAUACUAAACAAACUAAUAAAAGGUUACAAAUGGCAAGCCAAAGAACAACAAAACAAACAACUUUAGUACUUAAAUGAAGACACUCAUCGUGGUUGCAAGCGUUUUUGUUGGAACAUUGUAUUCUCUCUUUCAAAAUAUUAUUACAGAACAAAUAUAUUAUGAUUCCAUCAAAAAGGUUGAUUUUUGCAAAUUUAUAAUUUUUUGAGCGGCAUUGGCGCCAAUAGCAGUACAUGAUCCUCCAGUACCAACUGUACUGAUGACUGAAAGAUGAAAUAGAUUUAGUAUUAUGGUUCUGGAAUUGGUUCCAUUCCACAAAGUAUGCAGACCCCGCCAGUCGGUCAUCCUUGUUCAUUCAAAUUACUUGCCAUUGAGUAGAAAUAAUUAAUGACAAGUAAAAGUAGUGGCAUUAUAUUUUCAUUCUAUCCUAGCUUUUUAUAUUGUGUCGUCAAAGGUGGUCAGAUCCGAUCCGUUGUACAUUCUCCAUCUAUAGUCCAGCACCAACAACUGUUAUCUUCCAUUGUGUUAUCUUAAUGUAUUAUGGGUGGACGGCGCCUCGGGCAUGUCCAUCCCUGGACUCCCCACAUCGUCAAUCCUAGAUCCAGAUUGCUUCUAGGCCAGCAGCACUGGCUUCUCCCUGAUGAGCGAUGACUCGUGUGGUUGGACCGUGAUGGGCUCGAGUAGCAGCGACACUGCUUUCUCCAUGACGACUCCCACGGUUGUGCUGCAAUGGGAUCGUGCGGCACGACAGCGCUGCCUUCUCAUCGAUGAUUCCCAUUGUCUAGACACGAUGGCUUCAACUAGAGCCGGGGAUGCUGCCUUCCCUCAAACGAUGUGAGUAACUCAUGCCGUCAUGGGAUCCACAUUAAUUGGUGUUCUCCUUGUCAACCAUCAUGCCUUCUCCUCUCCUGCACCGAGCUACGACAACGAGCAACAUGGUGUGCUGGGCACCAGGCAGCAGUGCAAUGUCUUGGCUAAUAAGUUGGCCAGACGACGUGACAUCUAGCUAUGGUCCUCUCCCCUCGAGCAUAGAAUCAACAUCAAGCUAUGGUCCAGGUGCAGAUCAUCAACACCCUCCCUGUGAAUCCUGACAGUUCUGCAAUGGGAUCUUACCUUUUGCGCAUGGACAUGGCUAUCGUCGAUGUGUUUGCUGGUGCUACAUUGCCUGUACGAUGAUGUGCCCAUGUGCAGUUUGUAUCUGAAAUUCAAGCAUUGAUGGAUUUAGGAUGUAGUUCGUAGCUGACAUUCAUGCAAUGGUGCAUUUUCUAUUUUUGGUAGUAGCUAAAAAAUCAACAAUUACCACGAGCGAGCUGGUCGAGGAGGGUGGCAAUGAGCAGUCAAGUGAGGUGCACCUCCAUGGUAGCAAAGCCAUGGACAGGGGAGGUGCACCCCAAGCCAGGGGGUGCGACCCUAGCCACAUCUCGAUGGCCUUGGUGGCGCCCACCAGAUUCGCGUAGGCCUCGACAAAUAAAGUCGGUGGGGAAGGCACAUCCUCCCUCAAACCCUCACACCACCGCAUGCAGUGUUCUGAGCCUGCUGUGGGGUGCCACUGCUGCCGCCCUGCGCAAACCUAGCCAUGCAUAGCUAGGCGCCAUAGCUUUCAAACUCUGCUCGCGUUUCGAGCCACACAGUGUGGAGUGCAUUAGAAGCCUCGCGUGAUGAGAUGGAGGGCAAGCGAGGUGCAGCUGUGUUUGAAGACUGACAUCAAAUUACAUCAAUCAUUGGCCAUCAUAUUUUGUUUGGAUGUUUUAUUAGCCCUUGAUUUUAAUGGGGAUGAAUUCCUAUGUACAUUUUCCUAGGUGCACAAUGAUUGGUGACUCUCAGCAUGGGAUGUUUUUCUGAGGGGAUACAGUAUAAUUUUGAUUGGUCCAUUAUAGUAGAGAUCAUCAUCAUUCAAGUCUUUAACAAAUGAAAGGUUGUGAUGACUAAGGACCUGUUGCACUACUUCAGUGGAAGCGUGGCUUAGCCUAUGGAGCCACAAGGAUGUGGUCGGCCUAACAAUCAGCGGCGGAGCGUGGGGAUUAAAUAAGCAGGGGCUAGAUUGUUUUGUACAAAUUAAUGUAUAGGAAAACAUUUGCUACUUUAAUUUGUUUUGUUAUUAUUUUGUCUUACUUAGAAUCAGUGGUUGAGUAUAGCAAAGAAAAGAUUAGCAUUCUAACAAGUAUCAACCUUUAUUUCCACUUUAAUUAGCAUAUCUAUAUUGUAGAAUAACUACUGCAUGGUAAAGUGUUGGCAAAUAAGGGGGGCAAUGGCCCAGUUUCGCCUCUGAGGCGCUCCGCCAGUGCUAACAAUGCUGAGACCUUGCUUAUUCGAGGAUGACUUAUUUCUGGAUGAUCACAGCGGGUAGAGGCCUCCUUCACAUCGGCCGUUGAGUAGGGUUCUCCUUGUCUCCACUUCCUUUAUAGCGGAGUGGUUUGGAAGAAAUUCAAGAAAAAACACCAUUAUGAUUUGUAAGAUGAUGAACAGAAUGGAGGUUUUUGUAGGGUUUAGAAACAUGAAGAAUAUUUCUCAGUUGAAUGUUCGUAGUAGCGGAGCACAAUAAGCUAUGACCAACAUUAGUGAUCUCCAUUCCUGAUCCAUUGGCAGCGUGAACUAUUUUGGCAUUGUGGUACUUGUCAUGCACCAUGAGCCUUUCUAGAUCAUUGGUAAUUUGGUCCGUCGCACUGGUAUCCAUAUACGAGUUUGUAUGUAUGCCGUAUGACGUUGUUGCAGAGGAGACCGACUUAUGUGGCAACCCGAUGAAAGAGGCAUCAAACCUCUUGUAUUAGUGGAGAAUGGUUUGCCCUUCCUUCUGGCAUAGAUGACAGAUGAUGCCAGGUUGUGCUUCUCCUUGUGGAUGACCGCCACCAUGGCCACCAUGCUGUCCAUGUCAUGAGCUGCCAUGGCCGCAACGAGAGUUGUUCUUGCUAUGCCUGCCACCGUGACCACCUUUCGUGGCCAGUUUGGCUGAUGACUAGAAGCCACCUCUGCCGCCAUGGAGUUUCAGGCGCUGCUCGAAGCUGAUGGGCUGGGUGAAGAGUUCGCCACCAUAAUGGGUUUGACUAGUGGUAACAGCAGAAACAAUAGGGUUGAACUCGAGGUCCAGCUAGGUUAGGAUAUAGGAAACUAAUUCCUCAUCUUCCAGCUUGCGAUGACCAGACGCCAUCUCAUCUGCUAGUCGUGUCAUUUUAGCGACAAACUGACUAAUAGACAAGGCGCUCUUGGACGCCUUUUCAACUGCCAUUCUAGUGCUGUCGAAUUCGCGGGAUUGAGAGGCAAACAUACCCUUGAUGGCCAUCUGGCAGCUCUGUCCUCUGAAGAGACCUGGCUGUGGAUCUCCUUCGACAGACUGGUCAACAUGUAGUUGAGUACCAAACCAUCCUUGGCCUCCCACGUCUCGUAGUCACGAUUAGGAACAUGCAGUUCCUUGCGGUCGCUGUCUCCCUUUGGUGGCAUAAACCGCUACUAGAAAAAACAUCUUUUGAAAAAACAUCUUAAGUCAACCAUCCCUAAUAAUAAUUUCAAUUUAAAAAAAACAUUUAGAGAUUAGUAAAAACAAGGGAAAAAAUUUAUAUAGACCAAAGGGAUGAGAACCAGCCACACCUCACACAAUUUAUUUUUCAUUUGUUUUGAAUAAGUGUCAACACCCGGAUUCGAUCCCACUACCUCUCCCUUGCACGAUCCCUCCUUGCUACCACACCAUGCAAUCACUUGUGUCUAGUUCUAUGAUACUGUCUAUUUGUACUAAUAUAUACUAAUAUUAUAAUCAAUAUUUUUGCUCAUAAAUAAUCUUAAAUGAGAACUUUUAACUAUAAAGUUUAAAAUGUCAUCGAGCACUGCAACUUUGAUAUAUAACAUUUCUCCAUCCAAGGUCAUUUGAAAAAUUAAAAAUUUUGAAAUUGAAAACAUGAGACUUAAUUUAUUUAUCUAGAACCCUAAAUUAUCUCAACCAAAAAUUUUAUCAACUACAAUGUUUUAGAUCUCAUCGAGCUCUACAACUUUGAUAUAAAUUUUGUCUUCAUCCAACUUUAUUUAAAACAGUUAUGAAUUUAUUUGUGCUGCAACCAUUUUUAAGGAUGGUUGACUUAGUCAAUCGCCUCUAAAAAUUGAUUUUUAGAGACGGUUCCAUUAAGACAACCGUCUCUAGAAAUAUUUAGUGUCGCACCAUGGGAGAGUUCCACGGAGGUAGGCUCUGAAUACCAUGUGAGUAUAGUGGAACGAGAUACCCUCCCUUGGGCCUCGGUGUGGCAUUUACAACAAGAAGAACCCAACUGAACUCAGGAUGAGAUCUAUCGUCUACAACUUGGAUUACAAUACACUUGUGUUACAAGAUAUGGUUGCUAAUCUAUCCAAACUAACCUGGACGCUACGUGGCACUGUGAUAUUAGUGCCUUCACAUCAAAUCAAAAACAUAGUUUACCUGUGAAAUAACAAACCCGCAAUGGAAUAGUUCCUAUUAUGCUUAGUUUCAUGCAUUAUUUACUUCAUGAUUGGUCAUCCUUGAUUUGAUGUGAAGGCACUAAUGCACUAAUGCUUCACUAUCGAAGUCAUCUAUUCCAUUACUCGCCUUAUACUUUGGUGAGUUGCUGCUUUUCCCCUAAAUCAACCUCUAUCUGCCUUCUUCAUCCUCCAAAUCGACUCCCGGCGGGCAUCUUCAGUUAAUCAAGUUCCUGCUUCAGUUCUGCGGGGAUUUUUCCUAGUAAGCCCUUUGUGGCUACUGCCGUAUCCAAUUCCCCCCAAUCCGUUCAUCUUCUCCUCAAUCCUCUCCGAUCCAUCUUCCUAUCUUGCUUCGUUCGUGGUUCUCAUCUGACCAUCCUUCAUGCUUUAUCCUCUGGAUGAAGCACCUGGUUCCCGUUUCUUCUCUUCGGUUGUUCGUUUCCUUCUGCCGAUUCCUACCAUAGCUAGCGACAACUCUGAAGUUCUGAUCCCCUCUACCAUGGAGGAUGUGCCCCCUAAUCCACCACCACCUAUCAUUUCACCAGAUCCACCUCAUCCCACUCUGUAGAUCUCCAGUCAUGCACGCCCCUACUGCUCUAACUAGCCCGCCUGACCGAGCUAGCGCUUGGCCCAACCGCUCCGAUUUGGAUCGAACCAACGACUCCACCACCAUGCCAUGUUGUUAUCAACUACCCCAUGUCCAGCCGGCUCUGCCUGCUGCUGAUGACAAUCUUCCUCGACAUUUUCAUAAAGCUACAGGACAAUCUACGGGGCUAGGCGUUUUGACGCACCUAGCUUGGAACUUUAGAGGCUCAGGUGGGAACCUCCGCAGUUCAACCAUGAACCAUCUCACCCGUCUCCUGAUUUCUACCCGAGCACAGUUAUGUUUUCUAUUAGAAACUAGUAAUUGUUCUAUCACUUAAACUGCCAUUAAAAAUUGAUUUAAUUACUAUGAGGCCUUUGUUGUCCCCGCUCAAGGCCAAUCAGGUGGCCUCUGGCUUUUAUGGAAUGAUGAUGUUGAUCUGAAAAAAGGGAUUUCUUAGGAUUUAUCCAGUACUCCUAACGUUUUGGGUUAAGCAGGCGUGUAUGAUAUCAAAGGAGUGUAUGAUAUCAAAGUGUACAUAAAUGUGAAGGCGAUAUGCCUUAGAAAUCCGUAGCACGUAGAACCACAUUUAUGUACAGGUAAAAAGCUCAAACUGUAAUCUGAUUGGUCAUCUGCUUCACUUGUGAACAUUGAACAUCACCAACUUAAUUAAGGGGAUGUUUAGUCCUGGCUCCAUGCAAUAUGUUAGUUUGGAUUUGAUGGAGAAGCAAUAUAUGCAUGCAGUAAAAACUUUCUUUUUUACUCUUUAUUUACUCGCUGCUAACUGGAGAGUAUCAGAUUGCAGUUUGCUCGUAGUUCAGGAAGUAAUUGGUUCGUAGCAGCAAAAAAAAGAACAAAAGAUUCGAGGUUGCCAUGGACUGAGCUGUGAUGGUCAAUUUUUUUUUCUAAUUUAUGAGUGCUAUGUAAAAAUAAUCUCAUUUUUCCCUAUGGAAAUGAGGUAAAAAUUUAAGCAAGAAUGUGAAAACCCAGUAGCCUGCCACCAGUCUGUCUCAAGAACAGUCAUGGAUAGUCACCUGGAGCAAGGGAUCCAUACCAUACUUUGGACAACUGGACAGGUUCAGGGCCCUGGACAGGCUACACUAUUAGCUCCAAGCAAGUGGUUUUGAUAUUACUUUCUGGGAUAGAACUACAGCAAAACAAAAUAACUAACAUGGUCCACAGGUGGUCUUCAUAUACUUGGCAAAAUGUGGCUUGCUAUCCAAUGGACAAAGGCUAAGCGCUAAAGAAAUUAAACUAUUAAUGUGAAGUGCCAGAAAGUUGGAAAGCUACAAUAUUAAGGAUGUGAUUGAUUUCUAAUGUGUUCCUUUAUGUCCUAGAAACAGCCUAUCUACAAAUAUAUGAAACAAAUCUUCAACUUUAGAAAUAACAAGGCAUAAUUUUUUAAAAUUAAUCAGACAACAUAGAAAUAAACACCACCCAGCUUGCUGAUCUACAUGAAAAUUAAUCAGACAACACAUGCAAAAGUAGAAAGCACAACUAAAGUUAAGCAACAUAUUAUAAACAUAUAGUUACUUUAAGAAAAAGGAUUUUUACUCUGGGGCAUGAUAUCCGAAGGUUCCCAAGACACUAGUGAAUGCAACCGGGCAGCCAUAUCUGGUGCUUGAUUUGAGAGAUUAAAGUCUGCUAUCUUUGCCUUAAAGUCUUCAAACAAGAGGAUAUUACUUGAUCUAAUAUCCCUAUGGACAAUGGAAGGCUUAACUUUCUCAUAAAGAUAUUCAAGUCCUUUUGCAGCACCAACAGCAAUUUGCACUCGCUGAAUCCAAUCAAGUGCUGGGCCCGGUUGAGCACCUUGAACUCCUUUUCUUCCUUUUGACAUGAAUUCAAAAACGAAAUUGCAAAUUAUCAGUUGAAGCUACAGUAUUCAAGUAAGUGCAGAGUUGUGCAACAAGUAGCAGAGGAUAUGCAAAAACAUACCAUGUAGAACAUCAUGCAGAGAACCCAUGGUGGCAAAUUCAUAGGCUACUAUGCGAAGAUUACGCUCCAUACAGUACCCCAACAUAUCUACAAAGUUUUCAUGUUUCAACCUUGAAACCAAUGAAACUUAGCAUCAGAGGUAAGCAUCAUUAUUUGACUAGGAACGCAUACCACAUUAGCACUACGAAAUAACCAAAGAGAAAUCCCGAUGAUUAAUAAUUAAUGACAACACCAACCUGGGUCAAGAAUUCGGUAGUGGGUUCAUUUUCAGUAGAAUAAAGUUUUUUUACUGCCAUUUUUGUUCCAUUAUCAAGAACCGCAUAGUACACUCUCCCAUAAGAACCUUCACCUAUCAAAGCUGUUGAACCGAAGUCAUCAGUUUUUUCUAUCAGUUCAUCCAAGGACAGAACAGGGAUAUCGAUAGGGGGAGUAGCAUUGUGCGACUCGACUUUUUGAGUAGCAGAAUCUUUAAACCCCUUUGUCGCCCCUGAAGAAAAGGAUACAAUGACAUCAAAUUCUCUGUAGAUGUUAGGAAAGGGAAUUUCAAAAAAUACAGCAGCAUGAAGAUGGUUCACAUUUUCAGUAACUGGCAGUAAGUUAAGAAUGUAGGAAUAGAUGAUCCAAGUACAUUAAAACGAACAUACCAUCAGUGUUGUUAGUUGUGGCCUUGACAAGAUCAUUUUCACGCUGAUCGGAUUCAUCCACUUGGCAAUUGCAGCAACAACGGCGCCACAUUGCUACCUUUUAAUCUAAUUUGCAAAACACAAAUAUGUCAUCAGGGGAACUACCACAUUUAUCACUGUAAACAUUUGAACCUCAUGCAUCACGUAUUUUAAUGCAGACAAUACUGAAGAGAAACUUGUCAUGCCACUAGAGUGCAUACUAGCUAGUCUCUAGCAACAUCAAAACGUGAGAUGGUCAAGUUCAAGACAAAUUCUAGAUUCACGAUAAAAAGGCCAACCAUAGCAAUACACAACACAAACAGGAUGCCCAUAACCAUUCUAGACACACACACACACACAAAAAAAAAGGCCACAAAAUUCACCUCAGAAAAGGCACCUGAGAAAAUCACCUCAGGUAAACCUCUACUGCUCUAGAGACUAGAGCCAGCAGCCGCGCACCCACAUCACUAACAGAGACAUCAUUUGGCCGCACAUCUCAGACGCAGCUCGUCACAGACAGCCCGCAGUCCCGCACGAUCGCUCACCUCGACCGCAACCAAAUUCCCAAGCGCACGCAGCAACACCGAGAUCCAAGCCACGGCACCAACAAGACUAAACGGAAACAGGGUCCUGGGUCCCCAAAAAAUGCUCGCCCAAUUCUACACACGGAAGCGCCGCCCGCAAUCCCCACUAAAACUGUGAUGGGCUUGCUAGUCUUACUUCUCUUGAGCAUCUCGAGGUUGGGGAGUGCCCAAAGCUCCCCAUAGAUGAUCUGCUUCCACCACAACUGAAGAUUCCUAUCGUUGAAGAUAAUGAACAUGGUAUGUAAUCUGCCCUUGUCAGCUUUGUCUACUUUCUUAAUGUAAUGGGCUUGCAUAGUCAUGGUAUGUAAUCUAUUAUGCUCGGUUAGUGUCUCACGCACGCCGGAGCUUAUGCAUGACAUGCAUGUUCUGUGCUUGACGCAUGACUGGUUUGUGCGAGAGCACAACCGCAGCAUGGUCUGGACUUUUUCGUGCCAUGGCACAAGAAGCAUGGAUCAUUGCAUGAGGUUCAGACCUGGUGGCCACAACUUUGUAAUCAAGUUUUUCUGUUUAUAAGAAAAUCAAUAGGGUCAACACAUGCUGCCACUCUGCUGUUAUCAUUUCGUCUCCAGACCCAGCAGCUCGCCAGAGUUCAUGUACUCCGGCUGUUUUCUGGCAUGAACCACAUGUACACAGAUAUUUUUAAACGGAGUCAGACAGUAAUAUUUUCUGAUUGUAGCAGACCAAUAAAAAGGAGAAUCGUUGUAUGGUUGUUGUUUUGUACAGCUUUACUUCUGUUUUCUCCCCCUGCUCCCAAAAAAAUAGUGCUUCUAUUCUAGUGACAGCACUCAUUUCAGGUUGCCUUAAAUGAUUUUUUUUUCUGCUUUUGAAUGGAACCAGAUAGUACUACAGUGUGAACCAGAUAGGUGCUUGAACUCUAUAUGUGCAAUCAAGGUGGGAAUCCCUAUUGUGAAAGCGCUAGUGAUGAUGGGUUGCUCAUCUGAACAAUCAGUGAAAGGGAAGCUCGUCAGAAUUGAAUUUCUAAUGGUAUGUAACUAAAGCUUAUCAUAAUUAAAAUUUUGAGAAAUCUUAUCACAAUUAAUUUGCUCCCUAUGAAAUACAGGUUUGCGGCUAUACCUUCUUACUGAAUUCUGAAAAGUUCUAUUUCAGUGAUAUUUUCUCGUUCUCAAUCUUCCACACUAUAGUCUGAACGUUGUGUCCCGAUGAUGCAGGGCCUGCAAUCACAGACUACAUACUGUCCAAAACCCUAUAUGACUAUAUGUACCCACUUUGUCAGCUGCAAAUUCUUAUUGUAUUAGCGAUACAGGUUAUAGCUAAUUGAAUCAUGACUGCACUAACUGUGUAUAUAAUAUUUCAUUGCCAGGUCCACCUAAUUACUUGUGGUUAUUCUUGCUGAUCAAUUUACCUUCCAUUUUUGAACAGGCACAAUUUCUACUUUCCCAAUUGGAAACUACAAAAUUAUUUCAUCACAUUUGUUAGCAGAUCCUUUUAACUCAAACUUUGUCGCAAGCAAGUAAUUCCUGGCGAUACAUUAUGGGUGUGUUUGGUUUGAGGAAUGAGGUGAUCCAUCUUCUUCUCACUCCUCAUUUUUGUAUUUGGUUUGUGGAAUGGAAUGAGUUGAUCUAUCACCACCUCAUUCCUCACAAGCUAAUAAUUAGUAUAUGCAUGAGGAAUGAGUUGAUUUUAUCAAAAUUGAUGGAAUGAUCUUAUGAUGCAUCACCUCAUGAAGCAUGGGAUGACUCCACAAACCAAACACAUCAUAUGUAACCAUAUUGAUACAUGCUUAGCUCACUUCAUGAACUUGUGCUUUUUUAGAUUCAAGGUGAACUUGUAUAGUUCCAGACAGGACCUUAACACUUUAACGAAGUAGUUGCUCUGUGCCUUUCCCUGCCAAAUGACCCGCAGCAAAACCCUGCCUCAUGAUCCGCAGCCCAAAAAAAAACUUUGUACUCAAUUUAGUUUUAAAAUCUCAAGAUUCUCUAUCGCAUCGAAUUUUUAGACGCAUGUAUGGAGCAUUAAAUAAAGAUGAAAAAAUAACUAAUUGCACAGUUUGUCUAUUAUUUACAAGGUGAAUCUUUUGAGCUUAGUUAGUCUAUGAUUGGACAAUAAUUGCUAAAUACAAACAAAAAAUUCACGAACUAAACAAGGCCAAAGAUACUAUUUUUCUUUGUCUAACAAAACAUGGUGUUACAAAUAUUCUUGAGGACAACGCUAGGAAAGAACAUGCCCAAAACGCCGGCGAUGACUUUGUGUUGUGAAUAAAUAAUAAUCAAGAAAACACAAACGCAGCAAAGGCUGCAGUCAUCGCAAUGACCCACACGGCGACAAUCCCCGCCGGCGCUUCGCCGGAGAGCGGCUCGUAGUAUGACGGCGGCACUGACGGGAGACCGCGGCCACGCGCCACGCUGACCUGAAACCGCAUCCCCUUGUGGCAGUGCUCCCCGUUCUAGGCGUUCGAGAAGAAGUAGUUGGCGCCCUCCGCCGUGAGCAUCACAGCGAGGAGCGCCCCCUCCGGCUUCCACCCGCUGGCGCCGCUCGCCGCGACGCCGGCGCUUGUAGACCGUGGCGUUCGUCGUGUGCACCACCGUGUUGCCGGUGUCCGUCUUGAAGCCUUGCGACAUAUUGAGCACGUCACACACAUCACACAUGUCUGUAACUAAUCACUAGUGUCGAUGGAUCGAGCUCAAAAAUCAUUCUAGACAAUAUUUGAGUCAAACAUUAAAAAUAUAAAUCAUAAAUAAUUUAAGUUGUUGAGUUUGAAAAUAUGAAAACCAUAUGAAUAAACUUAUCUUAAAAAAAUGUUUUUAUAAAAAUAUACAUAUAAUAUUUUUUGAUAAAUAUUUUUAUAAAAAUUAAAGUUAGAGAAUAUGUUAAACAACUUUUUUACACCUAUGGAGGGAGUUGGACUUGGACGGGGGAAGGAGAGAGUGAAAACUCACUGAGGUAGUCGCCGAGGUAGAAGGUGCGGUUCACAGCGCAGGCGGAGUAGUUGGCGACAGAGGCGUUCGCCUUCCAGUCAAAGAACCACCCGGUGCCGUCGCCCACGGCGUGGUUCGUGCCAAACAGCGGCAAUGGCGCCGUCGUGUUCUUGGUCGGGCUCGCCGUUGAAUUGGCCGCGGAGCUUGGGCUCGCUGUCGUGUUGCCUGCGGCUGCAGUGGUCGUUACGGCAAAAACGGCGACUGCUACUCGGAAAAUCACUGUAGGAAUGCCCAUGGUCACAAGCUGGUGAAUUGGUGAUGUUGUGCUGCUAAUGCUAGAUUUCUGUCAGAAAGCUUCUGAUGCUAAAUAGGCGACUAUUCUUGAGUGAGGGUGAGGACUAAAUUAAUGGCGAUGUCAACGGUUUAUGCGGCAUCCAGGUGGGGGCGGCGCCGGCCUGGAAACCCGCAGCCACCUGGCUAGGCACCAUGCUUUGGCCGGUGACAGAUCUAUGGACUGGGAAAAAUAGUUACAGUAACUGACAAUGGUAACCUUGUGACCAAAUUGCCUAAGGAAAUGGUGCUCACUUCAUCAGACCUUUAUAUAUGAUAAUAAGUUUAAAAAAUAAUUACUGUUCAGCGGACCUUGAUAGUUGAAUAGUUGAUAAUAAGUAUUACUAUUGUUGUCUCGAGUGAAGCUAACAAUCUUCAGUGCAGAAAUUUUCUUACAUGAUGCUGAUUUGGAGCAACGGCAAGCAUUUUGUUUUGAUAGUUGUUACUGUAUAUUUACCUCACAAAUGUCAUAUUCACAUACAACAAUGGGGGCAUUGUUCUCGUACAAUCAUCAUGUUUUCCGAGCUCGUUUCUGGAGCUGGAGGUACUGGUGUAGUCAUGUUCCUGUAGUCUGUAGAUCAUCUUAACAUUUGAGUGUCUGAUUUCUGAGUACUACAACUCAAGUUUCUGACUUCUAAGUACCACAACACUAGAACCCUUGCUGUGAAUUGAACCCUUGCAAAGAUACCAUGCCUGCGACCUGCUGCGGUGAUUGAAGUUUGGACUCAGUUACCAUCAUGAUCUAGCGACGUGGUUCAGUUUUCUGGUUCAGAGACUAGGAUUUGCCCUCUGCACAUCAGCUAAUUGCUUUCAAAUCUUGAAUAUAGAGCUUCUAUAUGAGACUACCUUCACAUCUUGAAUAUAGAGCUUCUAUAUGAAACUAGUACGAACCUAUUUUUAAAGUCCAGUUAAUUGAUGUCCCCAGAUCCAUCUUCACUCUUCGAGUCACUUAGCAUAGGCAUGAAUGCUGCAAGAAGAACAGCAACCUUGUUUGCUAGGAACCCUGCGGUGCCAACAAAGAGCUCCGUCGGUGUGAGUUCAAAGCUAUCACCUCCAGCACCAUACUUCAGUGCAACUGCGCCUGCAACCAGUACUAGUGAUAGUAUCAACCAUGGCCUCCUUACACCACUGAAACCUGUUACCGAGGGCUGUGCACUGCCAGCUUCUGAAGGUGAAGUGAUCACAGGCAAACCAUCAACUGAUCUUUGGAGCAGCAACAGAUAGAGGAACCCACCAAUGCCACCUAUCAGGAACGAAUAGGCGGCGCUAUCAUUGGAAGCCAAGGUGAAGGCGGAGAAGCCAGUGAUCACUAUAGAUGCAUCAUAGAGCAGCAGAGAUUGUUUGAGGUCAGCAUACUCUCUCAACCCAUCCUCUCUUAGUUCCUUAACGCUUGAAGCUUUGCUUUCUGAGGAUAACAACCCUUCUUGAAGAUCGGAAAGGCCGACUCCUGAGAGGUCAGUGACAGCCACAGGCCUUGCUUCAGCUACUGAAGCUCCAUCAUCUCCAAGAAGCUCAUUUAUUUUCUCAAAAGUGUACUGCAAACCAUUGAACUUAUGUUCAGGAGUUCCAUUAAUUUCUUUAGGUGGAUCAACCGGUCCAUGUAUUACUUUCAAGCUCAAACCAUCUAAUCUCCAUGAACCUGACCUUCAAGGAUAAGAUUGAUAAACAAAGGAUAGAAAACACUCAUCAGGUGAACAUACUGCCAUUACAUUAUAUUUGCAAAGAACAUGAAAUGGGAUGUACCUGAUUCUAGACCGAUCCAGACUUCUUUAAUCCUUUUCAGUUUUGAGGCCUUGAAAGUGACAACAUCAACUGAACCACUUUGGAAGGGUAUCAGUUGCGCUGUCUUAAUUCCAAGUGUAGGUUGACCCAAAUAGAUUGCCGGUACUCUUUGUAGCAAGGAGUCACCAUCAACAUCAAUCAAGCAGAUUAAGAUUGCAGAAUUUUUCUCCAAAGAUGAACUAAAUUCUCUACUUGUGCUAAGCUCCAGCAUAUAGAACGAAUCAGCGUCAUCUAGUAUGAUUGUGUUAAAUAUCUCCUCAGGAACAGUAUUGGGAUAUGUCUUUAGUUCCUCUGCUGGAAGAAGGCGUGAAGGCUUUACAGAGGGCACCAGAUCUGCAGAGUUGAAGGAACAAUGGUCAGUUGGUCACUGAAUGGUGUGGAUACAAUGGUAAAUUUUCACAACCAACAAACAGAGCUUUCAUGGUGUCAAUAGUAAAAUAAAAUGAGAAAUUAAAUAGGAGAAAACAAACUACAACUACAUUGCAGCCGGUAAGUGAAACAUUAAUAUGAUUCCUUGUGGAAGCAGAAACAGUUGCAUACAACUACGCAAUAUGAAUGCAUACUAUAUUGAUGGGUAUAUUACAAAGAACAAUCACAUAGAAAUACAUUGUUUACCAGGGCAAAGAAAUAAGCUUGGAGCGACAACAUCAAAAGUCUGAUCAGACAGUACCUUGAAAGGAAGACCCCUUGGAGAAGCAAGGCAUCCUCUGAUGUUUGUUUUGUCCUUUUGGUUUCAUUCUGUCUGGAAAGACAUGGCAAUACAUUCUCGAGCUAUUGUUCAGCAGCAACCAUCUGGGCAGAAAAUUACGGUGAACUGAUGGACGGUGAACUGAUGGAGCAACACACCCUGGAGAGAGGAUCACCAUUCUCUGUAGAAAUGAUAGCAAAGCAGACGUAUUAGCUGUAGCAAACAGGGGUGCAGAUAGCUCUGAUACACUCGUUACCAACAUAUUAAUUUAAAUAUCAAUGCAUACACAGGAUUUAAAGCCCAUCCACAUUUCGUGACUGAACCUUCGGGAGCUGAAGUACAAAGUACAAACUAAUUAAGGACCACAAAAAAAAUCAAAGGCACCAUUAAAACUGUGAGAUCAGCGGGCAGGGGGGCAGAGGAUACAUGUGAAGGUAGCAAAUGGCCACCCGUGCACUAGUAUUUAAUCAUGGGAUAGCAAGGAGCAGAAUUAUGCCUAACAAACAAAUCAAAGAUAAUAACAUAACUGAACUGCGAUAACAGCAUGUCAGCAUGGACAGGAUUUGUCACUAUUAGAAUAGCACACCUAAAGUGAAGGCAAAAUAACCUACCAUAGAUCAUGUCCUAUUCCUGCUGUCCCAUAUGGCAGUGGUACACAAACGAAUAAGCUAGGUUGCAAGAAACAAAUUUUUUACGCCAAGCUUGAUGCUGAUAAUACUAGUUACCAAUGUAUUAAAUAUCAAUUUUUUUCUCGAACAUGCAAGAGAGCUGGGUAUCAUUGUAUUAAGAAGAAAAAAUGGAUAAGAACACAUACAAGGCACAACCACUAACACCACUAUGUCCAAAUUAAACAAACUAGCCCUUGACACACAAAGUAGGUGACCUCAACCCAAAAUUAACUCCAUAUUCAGCCCCUAGGAAAUGAGAUUAUUGAUACCUGUGCCCCUGCCAAGCUCCAAUAAAGAAGCCCCUCACUAGCGAGCAACAGAGCUGUAGCUAGGUUUGGAGAUUCAGCAUCAAACACACAACAAUUACGAAUAUUCCACGCUCCUAGAAUAAUGAUGGAGUUGAGUCCCUUUCUUAAGUGAACAACCACUGCAUUUUAACUUCCGUCCCACCAAUCAUCAAACAAAGUCUCAUCAGACUAGGGGGUAAGCAUUUCUAAGCCACACUUUACACAGGAGGAAUAACCAGAAUUCACAAGCAAAGACGUAUUAAAUAGCAAUGGCUCAAUGCAUACAGCAUUCAAAGCUGACAUUUGGUGACCGAACCUAUAGGGGAGCUGAAGUACUAAACUAAGCACCACAAAGAAAUCAAAGGCGUCAUUUGUUUUUGUUCCAUAUUAGAGCAAAACUAUGAGACGAGCGAGGGCAGAGCAUACAUGUGAAGGUAGCAAAUGGCCACCCGUGCAAUAGUAUUCGAUCAUGGGAUGGCAAGGAGCUGAAGUAUGCCUGGCCAAGAAAUCAAAGAUACUAACAUAACUGAACUACAAACUGUGAUACCAGCGUGGACACGGUCACCAACCAACUCUGUAACCCACUAUUCGAUUAGUAAAACCAAAAUCACCUAGUACCAUAUGUCGAACAAGCAAAGGUCGUAACAAAGAAUUAGACUUAAAAAUUCGUGGCCAUAAUAGAGCCUGCCUUACCGGAGGUAGGAGGAAUUGGCUGAGGCGCGGAUGUGGGAGAGAUCUCUACCCGGCGGCGCUCCAGUCCACAGGAGGAGACGAGGAGGGCGAGGCCGUCGGAUUCCGUGGAGCUGGUGGCGUGUGCUCCGCUUCUUCGUGGAGGGAGGCAAGAGGCGUGCCGCGUUGGAGUUCGGCGGUGGCGAGGAACACGUGGGAGAGGGGACGGAGUCGCGGUUUCGCGGACAGCUACCAUUGCGAGGGUGUUUUCGGGAUUUCGUGGCUUGAUAUUUCGUGCGGACAGCUACCCUGGCGCCCUGACGCAACCGGGCACAUACUGCCACAGCGGGCCCUCGGCGCGGCCCGGCACGGCCGCCGGCGCUGGCCCCUGCACGGCUAAGGUCUACAUGCUGGACGUUGCUUAUCUAUACCGUUGAAUAUGUGUAAAACAAUAGGGAGAAGUGUGAACACAGUUAGAAGAAGUGCAGCAGCACGAAUCUCAGAGCACAUUUGGAUGGUCCAGAUAAGCAAUGUUGAGCAUGUACAUGCUGCAUUAUAUUACUGAACGCAGGGCACGGGCAAGCCCCGAUGCGGCGCGCGGCCCUAGAGCGGCCACAGCCGUCGGCGCAGGCACGGCCAUUGGCAAGGGGCGCGGCCUGCCCCCAUGGCUACCUCCUCCUCUCUUUAUUCCUGCACAACGCCCAGUCCUCAAAUUAUGCCCCUAAAAUUCUAUUCGCAUGCUGGACUAAAAAAAUAAGAACCCAAAAUUGCAUUCAACUCCAGCCCAACACCCUCGGCAAAUUGAGAUGCGUCGGUGGGGUGGAGACCGGCACGUGCACGAGCUGCGGCUUUGCUCCCCUUGGCAGCAGAAGGCAGCCGGCGAGGGCGUCGGACGGCGGCCCUCCUGCUCUACACGCUGGCGCGCGGCGGCCCUAUAGCGGCGGCGGCCCUCGAGCGCGGCCCAGCGUUGCGGCUGCAUGGGCGGCGUGGCGGCACGGGGCCGGGCGGCAACGGCGGCAGCGCGGUUCUGUCGUGCGCUACCGUGUGCGGGGUGGGGUGGGGAGGGGGGAAAGUGGGGUGUUAUUGUUAUUGUUGUUGUUGUUGUUGUUGCUGCUGCUGCUACUGUUGCUGCUGUAUUUAAAUUCCACAUAUUUAUUUUAUUACAAUUCUUAAUAUUUAAUUAUAAAGUAAUCUUGAAGAUUACACCUAUAUUAAGACGUAAUACUAAAAAUUACGCAUCGACAUCUACUAAUCCUGGAGUUUAAUUGUGCGGGCAUGUUGGACAUCGCAAAGAGAGAUUUUGAGAUGCUCGCCGUGAAUGGCAGCAACUACCUCACUUGGACGACCGACAUCAAGAUCAGACUCGAUGGCAUGCACCUUGUUCAUACCAUUGUCUAGCCUGAAGCUGGCAAGGAUGAGCACACAAAGCAAGACAAGACGAGGGCGUUGCACUACCCGCGACACUACUAACGGUUGAUAAGUGUUACUUUUAACCACCAACUAAACAUGCAUAAAUGCUCAUAAUGAAAUAUAUGUAUAGGAUAGGGGUUCAAUCGAUAGAGUUCCACGAGUUUUGGUAUAUGUGUGUUUUUCAAGGAUUAAACAGGAAAAUAGGAGAAGAUAUAGUGGACGUCGGUGUAAAAGUCAUAUUCCAACGUAAUCCUGAGAGAAGAACGUUAUAGAGAAUACCAAAGGUGAGACUCUGCAAAGAGGUGCCCACCAGGCAUAGGGCCAGGUCGGCGGACCUAGGGGCUAGGGCGGCCGACCCAGCCUGGCCCCACCUAGCGUGGCCUUCUCUCACAUUCCUCCACCAACCUCAAGGAUUGAUCUCCACCAUUGUUUAAGUCGGUUUGAUCCAAUGGCCCAUGUUCAUUCCACAGGGCUAUAAAUACCAAGCCCUCUAGAUGAAAGCAUUCUCCUCUAAGUUGAAACCCUGAUUCUGCUUCUACGUCAAGAGUUCCUAUAUAGAGAAUCAAGAGAAGCAUUGAGAGAAGAUUAGUCUUGUAGUGCACAAGUGAUUAGGGCUAGUCUUAUUUAGAAAUAGAGAGAUAGAGUGUUGGGAAGAGUUCGGGAAAGCUUCGGCUUGUUGGUGGCUCCUCUUCGGCUUGUACCUACGGGAUCAAGUUCCAUUAACUCUGGAGCCUCCUUGUGAGAGUCUUUUAGUAUUCAACUUCUAAUUCAAGUAAGUUCGUUGUUAUUAUUAUUCAUUUGGUUUACGACUAGUAUGAAUUCUAGGAAUGGAAGCUUUUAAAGACAGAGGGAGUAUGAUAUUCUAGGAAUUGAAGCUUUCAAAGAUAGAGGGAGUAUGAUCUACUCACUAUUUUUCUAGGUUGUUUUUAUAUUUAUUUUGGCUAAAUCUUUGAAAAAAGUAAAUUAUAGAAAACAUAAAAUAGAAAGUCUAAUUUUAUUGGAUUCCACAUGAGUAAAUCUAUAUAGUAAACUUUUGAUAUGAUAUGAUAUACUUUAGUAUAAAAGUUUUGCUCUAGCUUUAGAUCUAUGCUUUUCUAUGAUUAUUUCGUAGCUGCAGUUUUUGUAGUCUGAUGAAAUUUUUAUGGUGUACUAGUCAUUGUAUGCUUGAGAUGUUGUAAAAAUUUCACGCUCAUUGAAUCCUGCAUGUCCGAUAGAUUUAUUCAAGUUUAUGCUUAUUAAAUAGUUUUUAAAAUGGUUAAAAGUGUGUAAAAUUAGAAAACAUGUGUUCUCUAUGUAACAUUACUAUUUUUAUAUCUUAUUAACACUUAAAAUAAUCAUGUUAUCAUAGAGAAAAUUACACUAAGAACAUACAUUUUCUAUUUUUACACACUUUUAACUAUUUUUAAACUAUUUAAUAAGCAUAAACCUGAAUAAGUCAAGAGUUCCUAUAUAGAGAAUCAAGAGAAGCAUUGAGAGAAGAUUAGUCUUGUAGUGCACAAGUGAUUAGGGCUACUCUUAUUUAGAAAUAGAGAGAUAGAGUGUUGGGAAGAGUUGGGGAAAGCUUCGGCUUGUUGGUGGCUCCUCUUCGGCUUGUACCUAUGGGAUCAAGUUUGCUGCUUAUAUUUCACUACCUCCCCGUGUCAGGAUUGGGUUUUGCUCGCCUGUUUGUAUGAUUUGGGAGCGGAAUUAAAUCAUAAGCAGGAGGAUACAGUGUCUGAUAAGAAUAAGUAUUAACCUUAUGUUUUAUUCCAAACUGGUCUCUCAUGACCUCUGCUAUCUUAUCGGCCCAAUAGGCAUCGGCAUCCUACCGAUGUGCGGGUUGAAUUUCUGGCACCUGCUGAUAAGCUUCCACGUGUCUCUGGGGUACACAGUCUCCAAGAAACAUUACAUUGGCCAUAGCUUGUUGACCACCAACCUGUUGAGCGAGAUUCAUCGGCUGAUUUACUGGUCCUUGAUUCUGAAAACCGACUUGCAUGUGUCCUUGCUGGAAUCCCGCAGCCUGAUGAUUCUACUAUGUCACAUGUGGAAAGAACAACUGCUCUGUCCAACCAUUAUUGGCGUUCAUCGGCAUAUGUCCUACCGAUGGUUAAUAAUUAGUUGUCAUUGCUGGAUUGGCAUAACCUGUUUGAGUCACAAACCUCGGUUGAGUUGGCAACGGAUUUGCCGAUGAAUUUGCAUUAGGCAUCUGGAAUGUCGGCAUUUGAAAAUUCCCUGUAAUAGGUCUUGCAGUAGUAGUUGUUGAAUACUGAAGAAUUUGAGUCAUCGGCGAAACUAGGGGUGCUGAUGUCAUAGGAGCCUUCCCUGCUAAGUCAGUUACCUGAGAUGUUCCAGAACAAAAAACUCUGGAGGCAUACCAUAUCCCCACCAAUUGAGAGGAACUUGAUAAUUCUGAAACACAGACCCUGACAUUGCCGAUGUCGAUAAAUCUGUGUUGAGCUGAACCCGUCCCCCUAAUGUCAUUGGAUUAGGUCUCAUCGGUGUAGAUUGCUCAUUAGUCAACCCUAUUGUGCUUGGAGGAGAAGUAGCUUGUGUACCUGCAACGGCUGGAAGAGCCGAUGGAGCUGUAUCCGAUGACAAACCUGACUGAUGAUAGGUCAGGCCAGCAUAUAGUGGUGGUGUCUGUCCUUCUUUAAAAGUUCUAGCCACAACAUUGUAAACAGUAUUGGCCAGCACAUUGGAGUGAUUAAUCAAGGCACGAUUAAUAGCAUUAUCAACCAUGUCUUGCAAUUUACCAUGAUUGGGAUCAAAAGUAACCUACCGAGGCAUCGGCAGCUCUUGCUUCUGGAUAACAUCCCCGCUCCUGUUGACGCUAAAGGACUUCAAGCAAAGCUGCUUGUAUUCCUCCAUAGCCCUCUCCAUAGCCUGCUUCUGCUUGUCCCUGAGAUCGGCUUCUGUCACAACAAUGACAUUCUCCGUGUCGAGAUCAACAGUAGCCAUGUUGAUUUUGUUGAUAGAUUGGUCCCACUAGGCAUGCCAAAAUAUGUGUUGAUGCAAAAAUAGAUCAGCAAACAUAAAGGGCUAAUACUCAAUUCAAACGUUGAGGUGUGCCAGCCGAUUUGACCUAGCAAUCAACAAAGGUGAUAACUUGAAUACUUUGGUCCCGACAACAGCGAUACGCCCGAAUGACAUGGCCAAGAGGUACUCACGCGGAACUCGAGAAUUCGCCGAGUGUUGCUCGAUGAAUCCUUAAGAACUCGUAAAGAAAAGAAAAUGUGCAGAUUGACGAAGUCGUCGAAAAAGUAGAUGUAAUAGUAGAUGUAAAAACUUGUGUAUGAUAUUUAUUAAUUGUCCUCCUUACAUCGCUACUAGGCUUAUAUUUAUACUCUGUCCUAAAGAGUUACAACCGUAUAUGACUAGGAUUUAAUUCUAAACUAAACAGGACUCUUACGUAAGGCAAACUCUAACAAAUAUGGAAAAGAAACACCUAUCUAUUCUGGUAAUCAGCAUAUCACUGUUGCCUUCCUAGCAACUCCCACAUCUCCCUUCAUCAUCAUCGGCAUACUCCUUGUAUCCUUUCAUCAUCAACGGCAUAUUCCCUGUAUCCUUACCAACUCCCAUACCUUUCCUCAUCGGCAUCAGCAAUCAUCAACAUCGGCAACCAAUCAGUAAUGAUCAAUGGCUACCGCCAAGCUUAGCAACAUCUUCCACCCAUCAUCCAGUCAUCAACAUCAUUAGCUAUCGACAAUCUUCUCACCAACUAGACACAACAUCUCCUUGACUGCCGAUUAAGUUUCACUGACUACCCCGACUUGUGCCCAAACAACGGUGUCAACAAAACCGGACUUGGAAGCUUAGGCAAAUCAACAUAGUUUAAGUCUACAAUUAGAAGCUCAUGAUGCUUAGAGUACAAGAACAAGACAAAAAUGCAAAUGAAUAUCUAGACUUAAAUGUUUCUUCAAGUGAUAUCCAACAAAUGGUACUCAUGAUGAUAAUAGCAAAUGUUCAAGAUAGCAAACAAGUGGUUCCAUACUAGAAGACCUUUAAUUGAUAGAAGAUUUUCAUUUGGUAUUGGACAAGGUCUUCCAAAUAAUAUCACAUCUCUACAUGUGGUAUCUAUCAUACAAGAAGGUGGUUCCACAAGUGAUCCUCAACUUUAAGUGACCAUCAAGAGAAGAAAAGUUCCCUCACCAAUAAGAUUGUCAAGUGAAUGACCCAUGCUAUGACAUAGGGGGAGGUUCCCCACCAAAUGGUAUCAAGGUCAAAGAUCCUAUGUGGUAUCUCAAGAGCAAUACAAAUGAUGUCAUUCCAACACAUAUGGUUAUGUCCAUAAAAAAUGCAAGAUUCAAGCCUCAACCAUCUACCUCAUAUGCAAUCAUUUGUCACAAUGAGAUGCACACUUUUUCAAUUGGUGUCAAGUGAUUUAAUUGGUAUCACAUACUUUUUAUAGAAAUUGAUGACAAAGGGGGAGAAAUUUGUGCAAAGAUAUAAAAUAUGGGAAGUUGGUUUAAACAUGGACAUGGACAAAGAGGGAACAACAUUAAGGAAAAGAGAUGGAUCAAAAUUCUUGGACAAGAGAAGCACACAAGUAGGAGGAGCAGGCUCAUGAACCUUGUUUUUUUGCAUUUGAUAUGUGUAUAUUCAUGUGCUUGCUUACAUUGCAUAAGUUUUUAAAUUCUAUAUGCAUGUUUGUGUGGUGUAUGCUAGUUAUAGAACUUGAUGAAUGAUAUGAUAACUAGCAUGCAUAGGUUGGUAACUAGACUUGUCUUCAAAAGGUAAAAACUAGACCCUUGCUUAUAAUGUUGAUCUCAUAGGGUUUCUAGUGUUUUUGUUGUCUAGCUACUAAUGGUGCUAAGGAUGGUGUACAUUGAAUACUUCAAAUGAUAUCGAAUUUGGUUUCAAGCUACAAAGGUUUAUUCUAUACACCUUAGCACUUAGUAGGGUUUUAUGGUGCUUAUCCGAAUCUUGAUAUAGAGCUUAAAUGUUGGAUAAGUAGCAUAAAAUCCAAAUCAAGUUAGCAAUUUACACUUGUGUGAAGUGCUAGCUUGAAAAAGCUUAAUUUCCAUAUCUUUGUAGAGUUGUCAUCAAUUAACAAAAAGGGGGAGAUUGAAAGGUCCUUGUUUGGUUUUGGUAAUUGAGUGACAACUUAAGUGGACUAAUAGUAUUUAUGUGAGAUACAUAGGAGAUUAGUCCACAGGUGAUUACGUAAUGAUGAAGGAGCUCAUUGCAUAUGAGACAUGACAUGGAGUCAUGUGACCAAGGUGGAGAAGAUCAAGAUGAGGCUUGGCUCGAUGGACUGGUUGCAAGAGUGAAGGGCAAGUCGGAGGCUUUGAAGUGAGGGACCGCGUGUGACGGUGAAGCUUGAGCAAGACUUGGCGCUGAUGGACCAAGGCAACGGUGAAGAGCAAGUGAGGUCAAGAUCGAUGAACCAAUACAGUCAUGUGAUGAUAUGAACUGGAUCAUAUAAUUUGGUGAUUCGUUGCUACAUGUGUUGCAUCAACAUUGUAGGAGAUAGAAUGGAAAGCGCAAGGCAAAGGUAUAACCUAGGGCAUUUCCAUUUCACUGGUCAUAAGUGUGUAGAGAAGAUCACAACAGAUGGUGUUAGCACAUUCGGCGCUUUUGAGAAAAUGAAACGCAUAUUUUCUAUUGCAUCGGUGGGAAUUUUGGAGAAGUUAUGGGAGUCACCGGAGAGGCACCAGACGCUACACCGUGUGUCCGGUGCGCUCUCGGUUUCAAGCACUGUUAACGCUAAGCACCGAACGCGGGCUAGAUUCUGUUCAUGCGUCCGGUGUGGCUUGACUUCAGCAGGUGCUUCUCACUAAGAGCACCAGACGCUCAGGGAGUGUCCGGUGGUGUGAGUCCAGUGACCCUGCGAGUUUGUUUUGCUCUUUGCGUACAGGUCCGAUGUGCACAGGACACAUCCGGUGUGGACCAGCAGAGCGUCCGGUGUGGCUGGUGCAGGCACAUGCAUGUGUUAGCCAUUGGCGGCAACGGUCGAGUUCAAAUGGCUUACGAGAAUCCUGCAAACUUGUUAGGAGCAACUGCAAAGAAUCACGAGCAAAGCAAGGGUUUACUCAGCCUUUAUAUUCUCUAAAAUCUCUAAAAUCAUUAUUAAAGCCCCAUGUGAAUCUCGGCUUAGCUACAAGGCCCAUGAUUAGCAGGGCGUAAAAUACAAGAGGAAAACCCCAAAUCGGCAGCUCUACUUGGCGUUGCAGGUCGAGUCCGGCAGAUAGCAGUAGUAGUAGGUCGGUUCCGUUUAGUACCACAUCGCCUAUGUUAGCGAACGCACGUCUCCAACGAUGUAUAAAAGUAGGCUGUGGGCUAAUGCUCCAACUCAUCUUUGCGCUUGGGGCAAUGACGCAGCUCAUGAGGUAUUACCGAGGCGCGUCAAUUGCUGGUUGAAAACUAUUUCCAAACCCCCUCAGCGCGGCCCACCAGGGCGCCAGAGAAUUUCUGGAAGGGCUCCCUCUAACCAGGGUAAAGCCCACAAUUGACUGAAAAUUUUAGAGGCCUUACAGUUGCUAAGCAAUCAGCAGUUCGUAACUGGAAAUAAUUGUUUUGGCUGUUUCAGCUGUUUUAUCAAAGCAGCUUAGAUAUGACUUUAUCAUAGAGUCUAAAUAAGAUUUGGAGUCUUAUUUUUUCUACUUCUUUCUUUAAUAAAUAUGAUUUUACAUCAGUAAAAUACCAUAAAUUAUUUUGUACUCUGUAAUAGAGUCUUGUAUUGGAUGCUCUGGGAUGCUCUUAGCCUUCGUUAUUGUACAGUUUCCCAGAGUACUCUGACAAAACGGACAGGAAGGUGAGCAAACUUACGUCAGUGAAAAGGAUGCCGGCGACACCUGCCAUAGCGAACCGGCAGUGCACGAGCUCGGCCUGAACGUACCACUUCAAGCUUGCCGGAUCCUCGCCGAGGCCCAAGGGAUCGAAGCCGAAGUCACCUGGUAGUCUGCAACAAAUCAUCAGAGAUAACUACUCCACUGUCAGCUGACGAACAUCCAUCGCCCGCAGAGAAAUAAGCACCGCAGAUAUCAGAGCAGUCAGAAAACCGACGUGCCGUCGAGGUGAGGAGGCGGGUCCAGUCCGGGCAACCAGGUCGGCCGCUGAGUGCCGGCGGCUCGGACGGCGACGACCCGAGCUCUGGACAAAUACAGCCGGGAAUGGUUGUUGCGUGCUUGAUGAUCUUGUCUUUUGGCCGGGGGUGUUGGACAAAAAGAAGCUCUCGGUUCUGGAUAUGGAAUUAGAGGCGUUCGUUGCUUCGUUCAAAGGCUGACGGGCUGUGAAGCUGAUGCCAGGGCGGAAAAGCGCAAAAAUGUGGUGGUUUGCCAGGCUCCGAUCUGAUAAGGCGAGGAGAACUUUUUGGGCCACACUAUCUGUGGUCUGUGGACUGGCACGAGCAUUCCAGCUACUGGUUGGUGGUAUUUUCUUCUUUUUGCAGGCUGAGACGUGAAGUAACAGAUGGGCCUCUGGCGGGCCGUGUUCCUCUGCAUUCAAUGGUUCGUUAGUUUUUUUUUCUUUUGUUUCGAAAAAAAAUUGGGUAAAUUUUUUUUUCAAGAAAUGUUUGGAAAGUUUAGCUUGAGAGAACAGAGUACAUGACAAGAAUUUGAGAGUGUAUGCCAACCAGGACUUACGGCCCGCAAUGGUUCGUGCAUAAAUGUGGUGAUAUUAAGUUUUUACAACUAUUCCAGUAUCUACUUUUCAGCACCACCCUUUUGAGUCCAUCACUCCUAACGCGGCGCCGCCUUCCAAGUUCCUGCUGAAGAAAGAGGGUGAAGAUGAAAAGGUGCCGGCGAUCCUAAACAAGGAGUACUCGGCGUGGAUAGCCAAGGACCAACAGGUCCUGAGCUAUCUGCUUGUUUCCCUGUCGAAGGAGAUCCUUCUCCAAGUCUCCAAUGCCACGACGGCGUCCGAGGUGUGGGCAGGCAUAGAAUCUUUCUUUGCCUCCCAAUCACGUGUGAAGAUCAUCAGCACCGGGAUGGCCUUGGGCAAUGCAUCCAAAGGCUCAUCCACCGUCGCAGAGUAUUACUCCAAGAUGAAAACACUCGCCAACGAGAUGGCAUCAGCGGGGCGUCGCCAGGAGGAUGACGAGUUUGUGCCCUACAUCUUGAAUGGGCUCGACGAAGACUUUGAUGCCGUGGUGACAGCGGUUGCUGCUAGGGUUGAACCCAUCACACCUGGUGAGCUUUAUACUAAGAUGAUUAGUCAUGAACAAAGAUUGGAACUGCGCAGUGGAGGAUCUCAGUCCUCUGUCAAUCUUGCGUCGUGCUGUGGUCAUGGCGGAGGGAAUCAGAAGGGUCUGCGCCCUGGAUCUGGAUCUGGUGGUAACAACCAUCAGAAUCAGAAGGGCGGGUGGAACAACAACAAUGCCAACAAAGAUCAAGCUCCUUUUUAGUAGGGUCUGAUUUGUCAGGUCUGUGGGAAGGAGGGACACCCUACAUAUCGUUGCUUCAAGAGGUUUAACCGAUCCUUCACCGGGCCACCGCAGAAGUCCGCCUCUGCCGCCACCUCGACAUAUGGAGUAGAUACCAACUGGUAUAUGGACUCCGAAGCUACUGACCACAUCACCAGCGAGUUGGACAAGCUGUCCGUCCGCAACAGGUACGACAGCGGCGACCAUGUUCACACCGCCAAUGGUUUAGGUAUGAAGAUUUCACAUGUUGGUCAUAGUUUUGUGCAAUCUCCAUCGCAUAAAAUUCAUCUAAAUAAUAUACUUCAUGUUCCUGAUGCUAGCAAAAGUUUAGUAUCUGUUAAUCGUCUCACACGAGACAAUAAUGUUUUUGUUGAGUUCCAUCCUGAUCAUUUUCUUAUAAAGGAGGCGGUGAAGAAGAACAUACUCCUCAGAGGCAAGGUUGAAGGAGGUCUCUAUCCUAUCGUGAGUAGGUCAUCACUAAAUAAGCAAGCACUUGGCGUCAUCAAACCGUCUUCCUCCACAUGGCACAGUCGGCCAGCUCCUCUAGUGGUUCAUCGAGUCCUUAGUCAUCAUAAUCUUCCCUUUGUUCAGGAUGAAAACAAUAAACAUGUGUGUGAUGCUUGUCAACAGGGCAAAAGUCAUCAAUUGCCCUAUCCAAAGUCCACUAGUGUGACUACUAGUCCUUUGGAUCUUGUUUUUUCUUAUGUGUGGGGGCCUGCACCAUCAUCUGUAGGUCUCUUUAGUUAUUAUGUGAGCUUUAUUGAUGACUACUAAAAAUUUUCUUGGAUUUAUUUGAUUCGCCACAAAUCUGAAGUUUUUCAACGCUUCCAAGAUUUCCAUAGCUUAGUUGAACGACAGUUUGAUAAAAAAUCCAAGCUAUGCAAACUGAUUGGGGGGAGAGUAUCAAUCCUUGAAUUCUUUUUAAAAAUGAAUUGGCAUUCAUCAUUUUGUUUCAUGUCCACAUGCACACCAGCAAAAUGGAGCCACAGAACGCAAACAUAGACAUAUAGUUGAGAUGGGAAUCACCCUGCUUGCCCAUGCAGCAAUGCCACUCAAGUUCUGGGAUGAAGCAUUCCAGACUGUUGUCUUUCUUAUCAAUCGAUUGCCAUCUAAAGUUAUUGACAAUGAUACACCCCUCCAUCGCCUCUAUAAACAAGAACCAGAUUAUAGCUUCCUUCGUACUUUUGGCUAUGCCGUUUGGCCAAACCUGAGAGCCUAUAACACAUGCAAGCUUCAAUUCCGCUCCAAACGUUGUGUAUUUAUAGGAUAUAGAAAUUCUCUCAAAGGUUUCAAAUGCCUAGACCCAAGUGAAGGCAGAAUUUACAUUUCACGAGAUGUCGUCUUUGAUGAAACUGUGUUUCCUUUUUCACAGUUACAUGCCAAUGCAGGGGCGCAAUUGCGUACUGAACUCCAAGUGCUCCCUCAAAUCCUUCUAAAUCCAUCUAUGUCUUUUGGAGAUGCACAUAUACAUGAUCAGCAUUUCACUUCUUCUGUGCCUGCUAAUGUUUCUUCUAGCUCUAUGUUUCAGUCUAUAGAAAAAACUUCCACACCAAACAGUGCCUGCAGCAGUGAACAUGGUGAUGCUGACCAGCCAUAUCGCAUGUGUCCCGUGCCGUCCGGACACACACAUGCCAAUGGUGAUCCACCGGUGGACACCACCAGCAUAGGCUCAAGAUCACCAUCGGGAUCCCUGCGGUCACCAGGCGUGGUGCCUUCUACAAUGAUCGCGCUGAUGUCCUCCUCUACACCUGCUGCCUCACCUGAUCCAAGCGCGGGGGAGCAGCUACUCGACUUGGCGACCGAAUCAGGUUAGCCACACUCGGAAUCAGUUGUGCCUGAGUCUGGUACGUCGCCUCCAGUGGCUUCGCACAAUCCGCACGAUUGGUUGCAAAAGGGUACAAAUAGAGGUAUGGAAUAGGCUACGAAGAUACUUUCAGACCUGUUGUAAAGGCAGCUACCAUACAAUUGAUAUUAUCUGUGGCAGUAACAAAGGGCUGGAGUCUUCGACAACUUGACGUUCAGAAUGCUUUUCUACAUGGGGUUCUGAAUGAGGAGGUAUAUAUGUAUCAGCCACCGGGAUAUGAGAACAAAGAGCAUCCAUGAUAUGUGUCUAAAUUCGACAAGGCCUUGUAUGGUCUAAAGGAGCCUGGUUUGCUCGGCUCAGUGCAAAGCUAGAGUCCUUGGGUUUUGUUUCUUCAAAGGGUGACACAUCCUUGUUCUACUAUAACAAGGGAAAAUUCAGCGUAUUCAUUCUUGUGUAUGUGGACGACAUAAUAGUUGCAAGUUCAUCGCCGGAGGCAACCAAAGCAUUACUCAGUAAUCUUCAGAAAGAUUUUGCUUUAAAGGAUUUAGGUGACUUACACUACUUCGUUGGAAUUGAAGUGAAAAGAACUCAAGACGGCCUAGUGCUUAGCCAGCAAAGAUAUGCAACCGACGUCCUCUCUAGAUCUAGAAUGAGCAAGUGCAAGGCCAUUGAUACACCGCUUUCAAGUACAGAAAAGUUAAGUGCUGCAGAGGGUACUGCUCUUGGACCUGAGGAUAGCACAAAAUACAGAAGCAUGGUUGGUGCAUUGCAGUACUUGACUUUGACAAGACCAGAUAUAGCAUUUGCUAUGAACAAAGUGUGUCAAUUCCUUCAUACACCUACGGUUAUUCACUAGAGUGCAGUCAAACGCAUACUUCGUUAUGUACAGGGAACAGUCAGUUUAGGACUAAAGAUUGGGAGAUCAAAGUCCAUGAUAGUGAAUGGUUUCUGUGAUGUCGAUUCGGCUGGUUGUGUGGAUGACAGAAGAUCAACUGGCGGCUUUGCCAUUUAUCUUGGUGAUAAUCUAGUCUCCUGGAGUGAAGCAACCCACAGUUUCAAGAUCUAGUACAGAAGCUGAGUAUAAAUCUUUGGUAAAUGCAACAGCAGAAAUGAUUUGGAUUCAGCAGUUACUAACAGAACUCGGUGUGAGUCAUUCACCUACUGCACGGCUAUGGUGUGAUAACAUAGGAGGAACUUAUUUAUUUGCUAAUCCAGUAUUCCAUGCUUGAACAAAACAUAUUGAAAUUGAUUUCCAUUUUGUCCGAGAAAGAGUUGCACAGAGGUUACUUGACAUCAGGUUCAUAAGUACUGAUGAUCAGAUAGCAGAUGACUUCACUAAGGCGUUACCUCAAGUGUAGUUGAGAGCUUUCAGAAACAAUCUCAACCUUGUUAGUGGCUGAGAUUGAGAAGGGGUGUUAAGAGAUAAAUCUCCUCCCUAUGUCUAGGUUCUUUGUAUCUAAUCAGAUCCUAGUCAUUAGCCUAGAUUAUAGGAACAGAUGUAUUCUAUGCAUGUAAUCAGUUGUAAUUGAUCUCCUGUACAUGCCACCGCCGUGGGGGCUAUUCCCCGGUCAAUAGAAACAUGCAACCGAGUAUGUCAAGGGCUUCAUACUCGUUAACCUAAAACUUUACAAUGGAAUUCUGCAGAGUAGAGUUCUAUGUGAUGCAUUAGCAUAGAUCAGAAAAAUCCGCAAGCGAUGCAUUAGCAUAGAUCAGAAAAAUCUAUCAUUGUUACCAGGGCCCAUGUGUCAGCCAGACAAACACGCACAUAACAUAACACAACAUCACAGCCCCGGGCCGGGCCUUCCCCAAACCAGAGCACACCUCUUGCUCUCGAAAAACCUGAAGCAAAAUAAUAAGAAGUCUACUUCGACUUCCUCAAGUAUCACAAAAAAAUCAGUUUCUCCACCCUGAAUUAGAAAAUCGGACAUAACUCUUCUUCCAUCAUUUCAAACCCGACAUAUGACCUCCCUUGCUGUUUGUCUAGGUGGAUUUUCUUUUGUUUCUUUUUAUAUUUAUUUUAGCCAAAUCUUUGAAAAAAUAAUAGUAAAUUACAGAAAAAUCAUGAAACAAAAACUCUAUUUUUUUAACUCCACAUAAAUAGUUCUACACAGUAAACAUAUGAUAUGAUAUGCUUUAGUACUUUUUGCUCUAACUUUAGGUCUAUGCUUUUCUAUGAUUAAUUCAUAGCUGCACUUUCUUUGGUCCUAUUGUGGUGAAGUUUUUCUGGUGCACUAAUCAUUAUAUGCUUGAGAGGUAGUAAAAGUUUCAUGCUGAUUGGAUCAAGUAUGACUGAGUUAUAGACUUAUUUAGGUUUAUGCUUAUUAAAUAGUUUAAAAUAGUUAAAAGUGUGUAAAAAUAGAAAAUGUAUGUUCUUAGUGUAAUUUUCUCUAUGAUAACAUGAUUAUUUUAAGUGUUAAUAAGAUAUAAAAAUAGUAAUGUUACAUAGAGAACACAUGUUUUCUAAUUUUACACACUUUUAACCAUUUAAAAACUAUUUAAUAAGCAUAAACUUGAAUAAAUCUAUCGGACAUGCAGGAUUCAAUGAGCGUGAAAUUUUUACAACAUCUCAAGCAUACAAUGACUAGUACACCAUAAAAAUUUCAUCAGACUACAAAAACUGUAGCUACGAAAUAAUCAUAGAAAAGCAUAGAUCUAAAGCUAGAGCAAAACUUUUAUACUAAAGUAUAUCAUAUCAAAAGUUUACUAUAUAGAUUUACUCAUGUGGAAUCCAAUAAAAUUAGACUUUCUAUUUUAUGUUUUCUAUAAUUUACUUUUUUCAAAGAUUUAGCCAAAAUAAAUAUAAAAACAACCUAGAAAAAUAGUGAGUAGAUCAUACUCCCUCUAUCUUUGAAAGCUUCAAUUCCUAGAAUAUCAUACUCCCUCUGUCUUUAAAAGCUUCAAUUCCUAGAAUUCGUACUAGUCGUAAACCAAAUGAAUAAUAAUAACAACGAACUUACUUGAAUUAGAAGUUGAAUACUAAAAGACUCUCAGAAGGAGGCUCCAGAGUUAGUGGAACUUGAUCCCGUAGGUACAAGCCGAGGAGGAGCCACCAACAAGCCGAAGCUUUCCCCAACUCUUCCCAACACUCUAUUUCUCUAUUUCUAAAUAAGACUAGCCCUAAUCACUUGUGCACUACAAGACUAAUCUUCUCUCAAUGCUUCUCUUGAUUCUCUAUAUAGGAACUCUUGACGUACAAGCAGAAUUAGGGUUUCAACUUAGAGGGGAAUGCUUUCAUCUAGAGGGCUUGGUAUUUAUAGCCCUGUGGAAUGAACAUGGGCCAUUGGAUCAAACCGACUUAAACAAUGGUGGAGAUCAAUCCUUGAGGUUGGUGGAGGAAUGUGAGAGAAGGCCACGCUAGGUGGGGCCAGGCUGGGUCGGCCGUCCUAGCCCCUAGGUCAGCCGACCUGGCCCUAUGCCAGGUGGGCACCUCUUUGCAGGGUCUCACCUUUGGUAUUCUCUAUAAUGUUCUUCUCUCAAGAUUACGUUGGAAUAUGACUUUUACACCGACGUCCACUAUAUCUUCUCCUAUUUUCCUGUUUAAUCCUUGAAAAACACACAUAUACCAAAACUCGUGGAACUCUAUCAAUUGAACCCCUAUCCUAUACAUAUAUUUCAUUAUGAGCAUUUAUGCAUGUUUAGUUGGUGGUUAAAAGUAACACUUAUCAACCGUCAGUAGUGUCGCGGGUAGUGCAACGCCCUCGUCUUGUCUUGCUUUGUGUGCUCAUCCUUGCCAGCUUCAGGCUAGACAAUGGUAUGAACAAGGUGCAUGCCAUCGAGUCUGAUCUUGAUGUCGGUCGCCCAAGUGAGGUAGUUGCUGCCAUCCACGGCGAGCAUCUCAAAAUCUCUCUUUGCGAUGUCCAACAUGCCCGCACAAUUAAACUACAGGAUUAGUAGAUGUCGAUGCGUAAUUUUUAGUAUUACGUCUUAAUAUAGGUGUAAUCUUCAAGAUUACUUUAUAAUUAAAUAUUAAGAAUUGUAAUAAAAUAAAUAUGUGGAAUUUAAAUACAGCAGCAACAGUAGCAGCAGCAGCAACAACAACAAUAACAAUAACACCCCACUUUCCCCCCUCCCCACCCCGCCCCGCACACGGUAGCGCACGGCAGAACCGCGCCGCCGCCGUUGCCGCCCAGCCCCGUGCCGCCAUGCCGCCCAUGCAGCCGCAACGCUGGGCCGCGCUCGAGGGCCGCCGCCGCUAUAGGGCCGCCGCGCGCCAGCGUGUAGAGCAGGAGGGCCGCCGUCCGACGCCCUCGCCGGCUGCCUUCUGCUGCCGAGGGGAGCAAAGCCGCAGCUUGUGCACGUGCCGGUCUCCACCCCACCGACGCAUCUCAAUUUGCCGAGGGUGUUGGGCUGGAGUUGAAUGCAAUUUUGGGUUCUUAUUUUUUUUAGUCCAGCAUGCGAAUAGAAUUUUAGGGGCAUAAUUUGAGGACCGGGCGUUGUGCAGGAAUAAAGAGAGGAGGAGGUAGCCAUGGGGGCAGGCCGCGCCCCUUGCCAAUGGCCGUGCCUGCGCCGACGGCUGUGGCCGCUCUAGGGCCGCGCGCCGCGUCGGGGCUUGCCCGUGCCCUGCGUUCAGUAAUAUAAUGCAGCAUGUACAUGCUCAAUAUUGCUUAUCUGGACCAUCCAAAUGUGCUCUGAGAUUCGUGCUGCUGCACUUCUUCUAACUGUGUUCACACUUCUCCCUAUUGUUUUACACAUAUUCAACAGUAUAGAUAAGCAAUGUCCAGCAUGUAGACCUCAUCUGUGCAGGGGCCAGCGCCGGCGGCCGUGCCGGGCCGCGCCGAGGGCCCGCUGUGGCAGUAUGUGCCCGGUUGCGUCAGGGCGCCAUGGUAGCUGUCCGCACGAAAUAUCAAGCCACGAAAUCCCAAAAACACCCUCGCACGGGUAGCUGUCCGCGAAACCGCGACUCCGUCCCUUCUCCCACGUGUUCCUCGCCGCCGCCGAACUCCAACGCGUCACGCCUCUUGCCUCCCUCCACGAAGAAGCGGAGCACACGCCACCAGCUCCACGGAAUCCGACGGCCUCGCCCUCCUCGUCUCCUCCUGUGGACUGGAGCGCCGCCGGGUAGAGAUCUCUCCCACAUCCGCGCCUCAGCCAAUUCCUCCUACCUCCGGUAAGGCGGGCUCUAUUAUGGCCACGAAUUUUUAAGUCUAAUUCUUUGUUACGACCUUUGCUUGUUCGACAUAUGGUACUAGGUGAUUUUGGUUUUACUAAUCGAAUAGUGGGUUACAGAGUUGGUUGGUGACCGUGUCCACGCUGGUAUCACAGUUUGCAGUUCAGUUAUGUUAGUAUCUUUGAUUUGUUGGCCAGGCAUAUUUCAGCUCCUUGCCAUCCCAUGAUCGAAUACUAUUGCACGGGUGGCCAUUUGCUACCUUCACAUGUAUGCUCUGCCCUCGCUCAUCUCAUAGUUUUGCUCUAAUAUGGAACAAAAACAAAUGACGCCUUUGAUUUCUUUGUGGUGCUUAGUUUGGUACUUCAGCUCCCGUAUAGGUUCGGUCACCAAAUGUCAGCUUUGAAUCCUGUAUGCAUUGAGCCAUUGCUAUUUAAUACGUCUUUGCUCGCUCGUGAAUUCUGGUUAUUCCUCCAGUGUAAAGUGUGGCUUAGAAAUGCUUACCCCCUAGUCUGAUGAGACUUUGUUUGAUGAUUGGUGGGACGGAAGUUCAAAUGCAGUGGCUGUUCACUUAAGAAAGGGACUCAACUCCAUCAUUAUUCUAGGAGCGUGGAAUAUUCGUAAUUGUUGUGUGUUUGAUGCUGAAUCUCCAAACCUAGCUACAGCUCUGUUGCUCGCUAGUGAGGGGCUUCUUUAUUGGAGCUUGGCAGGGGCACAGGUAUCAAUAAUCUCAUUUCCUAGGGGCUGAAUAUGGAGUUAAUUUUGGGUUGAGGUCACCUACUUUGUGUGUCAAGGGCUAGUUUGUUUAAUUUGGACAUAGUGGUGUUAGUGGUUGUGCCUUGUAUGUGUUCUUAUCCAUUUUUUCUUCUUAAUACAAUGAUACCCAGCUCUCUUGCGUGUUCGAGAAAAAAAAUUGAUAUUUAAUACAUUGGUAACUAGUAUUAUCAGCAUCAGGCUUGGCGUAAAAAAUUUGUUUCUUGCAACCUAGCUUAUUCGUUUGUGUACCACUGCCAUAUGGGACAGCAGGAAUAGGACAUGAUCUAUGGUAGGUUAUUUUGCCUUCACUUUAGGUGUGCUAUUCUAAUAGUGACCAAUCCUGUCCAUGCUGACAUGUUGUUAUCGCAGUUCAGUUAUGUUAUUAUCUUUGAUUUGUUUGUUAGGCAUAAUUCUGCUCCUUGCUAUCCCAUGAUCAAAUACUAGUGCACGGGUGGCCAUUUGCUACCUUCACAUGUAUCCUCUGCCCCCCUGCCCGCUGAUCUCACAGUUUUAAUGGUGCCUUUGAUUUUUUUGUGGUCCUUAAUUAGUUUGUACUUUGUACUUCAGCUCCCGAAGGUUCAGUCACGAAAUGUGGAUGGGCUUUAAAUCCUGUGUAUGCAUUGAUAUUUAAAUUAAUAUGUUGGUAACGAGUGUAUCAGAGCUAUCUGCACCCCUGUUUGCUACAGCUAAUACGUCUGCUUUGCUAUCAUUUCUACAGAGAAUGGUGAUCCUCUGUCCAGGGUGUGUUGCUCCAUCAGUUCACCGUCCAUCAGUCACCGUAAUUUUCUGCCCAGAUGGUUGCUGCUGAACAAUAGCUCGAGAAUGUAUUGCCAUGUAUUUCUAGACAGAAUGAAACCAAAAGGACAAAACAAACAUCAGAGGAUGCCUUGCUUCUCCAAGGGGUCUUCCUUUCAAGGUACUGUCUGAUCAGACUUUUGAUGUUGUCGCUCCAAGCUUAUUUCUUUGCCCUGGUAAACAAUGUAUUUCUAUGUGAUUGUUCUUUGUAAUAUACCCAUCAAUAUAGUAUGCAUUCAUAUUGCGUAGUUGUAUGCAACGGUUUCUGCUUCCACAAGGAAUCAUAUUAAUGUUUCACUUACCGGCUGCAAUGUAGUUGUAGUUUGUUUUCUCCUAUUUAAUUUCUCAUUUUAUUUUACUAUUGACACCAUGAAAGCUCUGUUUGUUGGUUGUGAAAAGUUACCAUUGUAUCCACACCAUUCAGUGACCAACUGACCAUUGUUCCUUCAACUCUGCAGAUCUGGUGCCCGCUGUAAAGCCUUCACGCCUUCUUCCAGCAGAGGAACUAAAGACAUAUCCCAAUACUGUUCCUGAGGAGAUAUUUAACACAAUCAUACUAGAUGACGCUGAUUCGUUCUAUAUGCUGGAGCUUAGCACAAGUAGAGAAUUUAGUUCAUCUUUGGAGAAAAAUUCUGCAAUCUUAAUCUGCUUGAUUGAUGUUGAUGGUGACUCCUUUCUACAAAGAGUACCGGCAAUCUAUUUGGGUCAACCUACACUUGGAAUUAAGACAGCGCAACUGAUACCCAUCCAAAGUGGUUCAGUUGAUGUUGUCACUUUCAAGGCCUCAAAACUGAAAAGGAUUAAAGAAGUCUGGAUCGGUCUAGAAUCAGGUACAUCCCAUUUCAUGUUCUUUGCAAAUAUAAUGUAAUGGCAGUAUGUUCACCUGAUGAGUGUUUUCUAUCCUUUGUUUAUCAAUCUUAUCCUUGAAGGUCAGGUUCAUGGAGAUUAGAUGGUUUGAGCUUGAAAGUAAUACAUGGACCGGUUGAUCCACCUAAAGAAAUUAAUGGAACUCCUGAACAGAAGUUCAAUGGUUUGCAGUACACUUUUGAGAAAAUAAAUGAGCUUCUUGGAGAUGAUGGAGCUUCAGUAGCUGAAGCAAGGCCUGUGGCUGUCACUGACCUCUCAGGAGUCGGCCUUUCCAAUCUUCAAGAAGGGUUGUUAUCCUCAGAAAGCAAAGCUUCAAGCGUUAAGGAACUAAGAGAGGAUGGGUUGAGAGAGUAUGCUGACCUCAAACAAUCUCUGCUGCUCUAUGAUGCAUCUAUAGUGAUCACUGGCUUCUCCGCCUUCACCUUGGCUUCCAAUGAUAGCGCCGCCUAUUCGUUCCUGAUAGGUGGCAUUGGUGGGUUCCUCUAUCUGUUGCUGCUCCAAAGAUCAGUUGAUGGUUUGCCUGUGAUCACUUCACCUUCAGAAGCUGGCAGUGCACAGCCCUCGGUAACAGGUUUCAGUGGUGUAAGGAGGCCAUGGUUGAUACUAUCACUAGUACUGGUUGCAGGCGCAGUUGCACUGAAGUAUUGUGCUGGAGGUGACAGCUUUGAACUCACACCGACGGAGCUCUUUGUUGGCACCGCAGGGUUCCUAGCAAACAAGGUUGUUGUUCUUCUUGCAGCAUUCAUGCCUAUGCUAAGUGACUCGAAGAGUGAAGAUGGAUCUGGGGACAUCAAUUAACUGGACUUUAAAAAUAGGUUCGUACUAGUUUCAUAUAGAAGCUCUAUAUUCAAGAUCUGAAGGUAGUCUCAUAUAGAAGCUCUAUAUUCAAGAUCUGAAAGCAAUUAGCUGAUGUGCAAAGGGCAAAUCCUAGUCUCUGAACCAGAAAACUGAACCACGUCGCUAGAUCAUGAUGGUAACUGAGUCCAAACUUCAAUCACCGCAGCAGGUCGCAGGCAUGGUAUCUUUGCAAGGGUUCAAUUCACAGCAAGGGUUCUAGUGUUGUGGUACUUAGAAGUCAGAAACUUGAGUUGUAGUACUCAGAAAUCAGACACUCAAAUGUUAAGAUGAUCUACAGACUACAGGAACAUGACUACACCAGGACCUCCAGCUCCAGAAACGAGCUCGGAAAACAUGAUGAUUGUACGAGAACAAUGCCCCCAUUGUUGUAUGUGAAUAUGACAUUUGUGAGGUAAAUAUACAGUAACAACUAUCAAAACAAAAUGCUUGGCGUUGCUCCAAAUCAGCAUCAUGUAAGAAAAUUUCUGCACUGAAGAUUGUUAGCUUCACUCAACACAACAAUAGUAAUACUUAUUAUCAACUAUUCAACUAUCAAGGUCCGCUGAACAGUAAUUAUUUUUUAAACUUAUUAUCAUAUAUAAAGGUCUGAUGAAGUGAGCACCAUUUCCUUAGGCAGUUUGGUCACAAGGUUACCAUUGCAAUCACAAACUACAACGAUUCUCCUUUUUAUUGGUCUGCUACAAUCAGAAAAUAUUACUGUCUGACUCCGUUUAAAAAUAUCUGUGUACAUGUGGUUCAUGCCAGAAAACAGCCGGAGUACAUGAACUCUGGCGAGCUGCUGGGUCUGGAGACGAAAUGAUAACAGCAGAGUGGCAGCAUGUGUUGACCCUAUUGAUUUUCUUAUAAACAGAAAAACUUGAUUACAAAGUUGUGGCCACCAG
rnacentral:lncRNA from 1 species